rnacentral:lncRNA from 1 species
AGAUGUCCAAAGAUUGGAUGGUGGUGUGCGUGAAGUUCGUGUAGCACCUGUUAUACGCUCGACAAAUUGUUUGAAUCGGAAAAUCAUUACCGAUCUCGCAGAUUCGAGUCAGCUAUUGGAAUGGUAAGCUGAUUUGCUAUUCUUAUUGACUGUUAUGAUGAAUGGAUUGGUUGAAUUAGUUGAUCGUGAAGAUUGUUUUAUUCUUAGCACAAGUGCGUUGUUGAGGUAUUAGAUGUAUGUCAUGAUGCCUCGCUUCAUGCAUCAAUGGAGUGUGUACAUAAGUAUGAAGUGGUCGUGUCACGCGAAACUCAAGUUUAAAAUAAUUAUUGUGUGAGGAGUGGUUAAGUGAAUAAUAAGUCUAGUGUCUCGCUCAUAUAGCUGAUAAAUGCGGUCGUGGUUGAUUAUGUACUUGUAUUAUUUGAGAACGUCGAUGCUUUGCUCAAGUAAUUAUUAUAUUAUAGAUUUAGUGAUCAGUUGCAUGUCAUGGAAAAUGUUGCAUACUACCCUAAGCAGUUAAAACUAAAUAGCAAUCGACAAGUCUAUUCCAGUUAGAAUCUAGAAAUUUCAUGACUCAAAAAGAAACGCACAUCAAUACGUUAAGUAUUUGGUUGAUAAAAAUACUUUUACGAGGUUUUAUGUUGUUUGAUAAUAGUCACCCCACUAGAUUAAAUUUAUUUGAUGCGUGCGCUAUGAGUGUCUUCAUGAUUAAAGCAUGUGCCCUGCAUUGGUGUAGUGAGGUUUUGUCGGGGACCAUAAUUAGGGGUACCCUCAAGACUCCUAAUUCUCAGCUGGUAACCCCCAUCAGCAUAAAGCUGCAAAGGCCUGAUGGGUGCGAUUAAGUCAGGGAUCAGUCCAUUCGAGCGACUCGAUCACGCCUCGCCCGAGCCUAGCCUCGGACAAGGGCAGCCGACCUCGGAGGAUUUCCGUCUCGCCCGAGGCCCCCCUCCGACGGCGGACACAUCUCCGGCUCGCCCGAGGCCCUGCCUUCGCUAAGAAGCAACCCUGACUAAAUCGCCGCACCAACCGACCGAAUCGCAAGAGCAUUUAACGCAAAGGUGGCCUGACACCUUUAUCCUGACGCACGCCCCCCCCCCCCGGCAGAGCCGAAGUGACCGCUGUGGGGGAUAGAUAUCCCCCGGGUCCACUAAAGAAAUAAAAUACCUCACGAAAGGCCCAAAGGCCCAAUAAAUCGUAAGGUCGUUCUUUCGUGGGCCUGGGGAAAGACAAUCAACGAAGCGGAGAAGACGUAAGACUAGAUUGGAGCAAACCCAGACGGCCCACAACGUCGAGCGAGUAAAUCGCAACAGAGACCCGACUUUCCCGCGCUGAAGCCCCCAUGCAACAGAGCCAUGCGAGGAUAAGUCGGCAAGGGUUACGUAGGGAUAAACUCGAGAGGUUUACUAUCUUUCAGCUACUUGUAGCUAUCAUAUCCACAUGUACUGCCCCACGGUCGAGUAUAUAAGGCCUAGGGGGCACCCCUUCAGAACGACCGACCCUGUUUGACAUAGCCACCCACGUAAAACUCUCUGCGCCCUCUAUCAGAGAACCCUCUUGUAACCACGCUCAUAUACUCACCAGGACGUAGGGUGUUACGCACUUCUAAGCGGCCCGAACCUGCAAAUCUUGUCCAUUGUCCCUCGUGCGAUCGGCACGAACCAUUUUGCUACAGUCGUUGACACCGUCCUACUCCUAAAAACACCUUGAGGGGCAACCCCGGGUGUGCGGUCGGACCCAAAACACCGACAGCUGGCGCGCCAGGUAGGGGUUGUGUCGACGAUCCAAGCUAGCUCAAUGGCCGUCACCUUCCACAACAAGAUCGCCGUGCGUCCCGGAUCUGUAUUCUGCUUCGGGACAAUCUCGUCCGUAGCGGAUGAAGAAGGGAUUCUACACCGCCUCGCAGAUCUACCGGAACAGAAGUCUCCUCCAACAAACUCCGAAAAUGCUGGAAAGACGCUACCUCCGGCUCUUCGGAAAAAGAUCGUCUCCGGGGAGGCUGGAGCUGGAAGCUCGCUGACCCGGAAGACUCCGCUGUCCACUUCCCCGACGAAAGAAUGGACACGGGUCGUGAGAAAGAAGGAGACCAGGGAGAGGCAAGUCGUUCUUCCCGUUCCUCCGGCCUCAAAGGAGAACGGAAAGAAAAUCGCCGCGACAGCAGUACCGUUCUACCCCGACGUCCUCUUCAUCGGGAGAGCAGAGUCGCCCGCCGUCUCUGACGAUGAACCGACCACGCCUGGAGAAGAACCACCUCAGCGAGAAUCCCGCCGACGAAGAAACCGACGCAGGAACGUUCGGCGACAUCACGCAGCUGGAGAACGGGAUCCGGAGCAGCCUGUCUCGCGAGACGAGGUCUCAGAGAUAGGAGAAACUCCGGAAGAACGCGUCUUCAGGGAACGAAGGAACUCCCGAUGACGUGAUCGCCGGCGGACUCAGGAGCAAGCCGAGCAAGAUGCAAGGCAACGACGCGAGAAUCCGCUCUUCGGGCGCAACCUGAACCCCGACUUUGCCCGAGCUAUGAACACGCCGAGCGAAGUCGGAGGCGUUCUAGCUCGGAUAGCUGACGGUCUUCCUCGGACUCCCGACGCCGAAGGAUACCGACGCCUGUUCACUCAGGCGGCCAACCAUCUUCUACCGCUCGCUCACCCGCCGAACGAUUUGCGACACGCCAUCAACAGUCGCCGAGACGCGCGAAGCUCUAUCAAUGCUUCGCGCGAGCGGCGGCAUGAGAACGAAAUUCGCCGUCGGGAGGAGUAUGACCGAGAUCAUGGCUUCCCGACUCAAAGCCAGGCCACCCGAACUGAGUCGGCAACAGCUUCAACUGGUGGUACCGCCCGGGGACGGUCGAGGAACCACCACCGCCACCCCCCUCCCCGGGACAGACGUCAUCCCCGACGACAGGAGGACACAUGCGGAGUAUCCGCCCUUACUCCGCGCCUUAGGGCCAUCCAAUGGCCUCCCAACUUCAAGGUAUCCAAUGUCGACAAAUAUGAACCUAAGCAGGAUCCAGGGGGUUGGUUAGCCGUCUACACCACCGCUACUCGGGCUGCCGGAGCAUCCGAAGACGUCAUGACCGCGUAUCUGCCCAUCGUCCUUGGGAAAGAUGCGCUGCAGUGGCUACGACAUCUACCCCGACACUGCAUCGACGACUGGGGAGACUUCAGUCGACGUUUCACCGCCAACUUCCAGUCUCUCUCUGACAAGCCAGCGCAACCAUGGGACCUCAAAUCCAUCAAGCGCCGGGGGGAUGAGACUCUCCGGUCAUACCUUAAAAGGUUCCAGACCAUGAGAAACCGCAUCCCCGAGGUCACGGAGGCGGCCGUGAUCGAGGACUUCUAUAGAGGAUCUAACGACUCGGCUUUCGUCCGAGCCAUACUACAAAAGGCGCCGACUACCUCCGAGGAGCUGUUCCGGGAAGCCGACCUCUACAUCACCGCCGACGAGCGGGCCCAGGAUCUCAUCGGAGGAGCAAAGCCUGCACCGGCAGCACCACGACGUGACGCGAACCAGCCAUCUGUCACACCCGUUUCCAAGGGCAGAGCCGGGUGCAUAGCAUAUGUGUGCCAGGAUCUAUUUCCACACAUAUGUUGACGUCACAAGUGUAAUAUAUCAAAAGAACAAUGCAUAAAAGCGUAAAUAACGAUUAUAUUAACAUAUUACACUUUGAACAGACAUAAUGUCUUAACCUUUAUUCAUCAAAGUACAGCGAAACAAGGACAUCCAUCCACAGGAAGAUGACCGGGGGUAUCACUAGACUAGCAUCCACGGAGUUCAGCAUCAUAUCUUCAUCUGCAACUUCUGAUCAAAAUUAAGCAAGGGUGAGCUCACUUAUGGUCGGGGCUCAGCAAGUGGGGGAAAAACUAAUGCAAGUCUAACAAGGUGAGGCUGAGGUUGAGCAGUAAGCAUUUUAGUUGGUCAACAUUUUAUUAACAACACCUGUCUUAAUAAUAAGUGUGAAUCCCAAGUAUUCCCAUUAAGCAAAUGUAUAAGAGUAUAUCAAAAACACUUAAGUGAAACCACUUAAGCAAAACCAUUGGCAGAUCAUCGGAUCUCGAUUUAUUUCCAUCUUCAAGUUCAAUUAUCAUGUGAGGAGUCCAGGCUGCUCAUAACCGUGAGCACGGCUGAUAUAUCAGUUUUACACUCUGCAGAGGUGGCGCAUCUUUACCCAUGAGUCGUGAUUCCCUUUUAGCCCGGGUUAGCUAGACCCGUAUUCACUUCCGAGGUGAAUGGCCAGGGUCUCACUACGAGGCUUCUCCCUAGAGUCCUCAUUACGCAAAUGCUGGAAAUGGUCAAACUGCAUAAGGCACACCUACCGUAACCAACUUAUAGUCCAGACUACAGGGUAAAGCUUUGGGAACUAUGCACGUAUCCAAUCUGCCUGAGCCGGAACUAUAAGAGCUUGCCAGAUGCCCCCGUUCCUGUCGACCACGACCAGCACCCAACAUAAGACUUCCCUAGUUAUUUAGCCAAGACCAGAGCCAUGAUAGUUCUCAUGGUAGCACUGUUUUCCCGGGUGGUCACUCCAUGUUCCAAUUAAUAUGCAAUAAUCUUGUUUAACCAUCGGGUUAACAACAAUAAAGUAAACUUACCAUUUGGAACAUUAAUAUCAUAAGCGGGAGUGACUGCAUAAAGUUAAGUUGUAGCAAUAGCAUAGCUACGAAAGUAAAGUAUAAUACCCAGGUUUGAUCAAGGAAUAAGGUUGGAAAGGUUAUCUAAAUAGGUAACCCGUCAAAUUAUGCAUAUAUUAAUCGAAGAAUAAACUUUAUUAAAUGUAUUGUUUGGGAUCAAAUAGAGUAUGCAGAGGGAGAAGUCCACUUGCCUUGCUUAUUGAAAACUUGAGGUUCUUCCACGAAAUAUAUCUUGAUUCUCAACUACUAGAUCAACCACUGAAUAUCACACAAACAAACAAGAAGAACAAACACCACUCAAUAACAUACAACAUUCACCAUACGUAAAGCUAAAAGAAAGCCUAACGAAAAGAGCGUUCGCUUUUCAAAUACGUCGCAAGUCAUGGUUAUAAUAAGAGAGUAUUUUUUUUAAAAAAAAUAUGUGAUCUAUACUUUAUAAAACAAGACAUGAGCUUAAAAUAUCUUAAUUAAAAUAUGCAAAUAUUAGGUUCAUUAAUUUUAAUCUUUUAUAAAACGUCAUACGUGACACGUCUAAGAUAAAGGGUUUAUAAGACGAUAAAACAUGUUAUAACGAUAUUAAACAUUUCUAACUUUUUAGAAUAGAUAUAAGUUAUAUAUAUCUAGGGUUAAUGGGCUACUAAUCACGUUAUUAAUUUUAGAAGCACUAUGGAGCAUAUUAUUAAUCAUUCACUUAUGACAAAUUAAGAUAUAAGUCUAAAUAGGUUUUAUGUGAAAAGAUCAUAAUUAUAUUAUUAACCACCUAUUUAAGACGAGUUAAGUUAUGGGCCUUAAGUGGAUUUUCAUGCAAAAGAUAAUAAACGCAUAACCAUCAUUUAAUGUCAUUAAAAAGCACAUAGCCUAUAUUAUUAUAUUUAAAGUCAAUAUAUAUAUAAAGUAACAUUUUAAGUUAUAAAAGAACUUAAACUCUUAUUACUUUAUUUUAUCCUUUAGGAAAAACUAAAUGAUUUAUAUAACAUAGACUAAAUUCUAUAAAACCAUUAAUCAUGCCAUAAAUCUAGUUAAGAACAAAUUGACUAUAGGUUUGAUUAAUAAAUUAUGAUAAAGAAUAAUUAAUCUAUUAAUUAUCUUUAAUUCUAUUGUAGGAACAAAUGAUCUAAUUCAUUAGAAAGGAAAUUAUGUAUAAACUAUCAUUUUAGUUUAUAAAACAAUGACCCAUGUUAUCUUUUAAUUAAGAAAAUAUAAAUAAUCUAUUAAUCGAACAUAUAUUUAUCUUCUAUUUUUACUAAAAAACAUAUGGUUACAUAUUCUUUUAAGUUUCUAUUUAAUACGGCUAUACUUAAACAUCUAUAAUGAACCUUGUUAAAUAUAAUAUCUAUUAAAAAGGUCAUUUUAAAGUUAGAAACAAAUUAUCUAAUUCUUUAGUAAGAAACCUAUAUUUACCAAUAACUAUCAAUUUCUUUAUUAGAAAAGUAUGAGCGUCUAAUUGGCUUAUUUUAACAUUAUUAUAAAAUUCUAUCUUUCGGUUUUCUCCUUUCUUUUCUAAAUAGAAUUUAUACGUAUAACUAAAAAUUGUUUAUUUAAUUCUUCUAACAUUAAUAUACUAAGAAUUAAUUGUAGAUUACUAAAUGAGACUUUUAAUAGUCUAUUCAUGGUUAUUAUGACAUAAAUAAGUAUCUUACUAUUCUAAGUAAUUAAGCACUAUAUUUAUGAAUACAUUUAUUAUGAAUAGUAACAUAUAUAUUUUCAUUUGACCGGAAAUAUGUGGCUUAAUACUUAUUUCAAUUUUUUUUUUCAUGCAAAUAAGUUCACACUUAAAAUACUACUAAUAAUUAUCGUUCCACACACUAAAGUGAAAUCAAAUCUAUAAACGUUUUCUAGUAUGAAAAUCACCACGGUAGUGAAUAGUGACCGUAUUUAUUUUUAGAAAUAUAAAAUCCUACGCAUAUUAAAAGUGUUGUCGCGGGGUUCAACUUUAGCUACACGUAUAUAUCGAAAUCUCUAAAUCAUACACGUGAAUCGCAUCGACUCAAUAUUACACCAAUAUUUCACAAAAUUUAAAACAUGCUUUAGAGAAUAAAUUAACAGAUUGUCUUUAACCUUGGGUUCUCGCUCAUGCGCAGGGAUGAACGUCGGCGAGGGGGUUUCGACUGUGUACAGGAGGGACAGUGGGUUUGGCGUCGAGCAGAGAACGACGCGGUCGUCGAUAGACGUCGAGGUACAAACUCCGGCGAGGCUCCACGGACUCCGGGACAGACGGCGAACGACGAACAACUACGUGGUGAUGAUGUUGCGCGCAGGUGGGCUAGUGGCCGAGGUGCUAAUGCAUGGCGAAUGGUGAGGGAGAGAGAACCGAGAGGAGGGAGAGAGCUUGGGGUAGGGAGAGUGAAGGGCUCGGCUGGGGGUUUUAUAGAGAGGGAGGGAGAGGAGAGGACGCCAGGGUCUUCAAGCUACCAUUAGUGGCGUGCAUCAAUGGAGGGAAGAGUGGGGAGGGAGUAAUGGAUGCAGUAACCUCCAUUCACACAGAGAAACGGACGGUAAUGAAGGUCCAUUAACGAGGUUAGAAGAACGGACGGGGCACGGGUGGCGCGGUCGGUUUCCAGGCAUCGCGCGCUGGGCGCAGCUUCUCGGUUGGCGUGCACGGCUCGGUCGGCGUCGGCUUCAAAGCAUGGUCGUCGCGCGGCUUGGGGCCGGCUCUGCUAGCGCUCGACUCGCACAAGGUCGCGGCCGGACAGUCGGUGUCGCGUGGCACUUCGGCUGGCGCGCACGGCUGGCGAGCGUGUAGGCGCAGUCGGCGUCGAGGCGGGAUCCUGGGCGCCGGUCGGGUGAGCAGUGGAGAGAAGAGAGAAGGAGCAGAGGAGAGAGGAGGGAGAAAAGUGGCGGCGGCCAGCAGGAGAGAGGGCGCGGCUUAGGGAAGGAGAGGAGGCGGCUGUUAUGGGGAAGGGAAAGAAACAACGGCUGCUCCACUAGUGGGCGUCGUGGGGAGCCAGAGAGCCGGUCGGCUGCUAUAAUCCCUUCGGCGAAAUGUUUGAUGUCCAUGCGGUGUGCGGCUGAGAAGAAAGGACUGUGCGAUGGGCCCCACUGUGCAGAGAGAAUAGGACUAUAGGAGAGGGAGCACGGUUCGGCAAGGGAAAAAACUGAGCAAGAGCUCGGCAAGGGAAUUCAUCAUUUUUUUCUUUUUUUUAGAAUAGAUGUGUGUGCGUGAGUGUGUUUGCGUUUUGUUUUUUUUUUCUUUUCAAAUUCCCUAAACGUUUUCCUUCUUUUCUUUUUUUUGACUAAUAGAUAAAUGUUAGUAUAUAUAUUUACAUAUUUUAAAAUUUAUAAUAAAUUUAAAAGAUAAUAUUUUAUAAAUAAGAACACCCAAAUUUUAAAGAAUAAAUCUUUUUAGUCAAAAUUCUAUUAUUUAAAUAGAUUGGGUUCCACAAAAAGUAAAUCGAUAAAAUAAAAUACAUACAAACAAAAAUUAUUACCCUAUGUAUAUUAUUUUAACAAUUUCAUCAUUAUCGUUUUGUAAAAAUGAGAUUUUAUUCACAAGAUCAAAUCCAUAAAUUGGAUUUACAAAUCGAUUCAAAGAAAAUAUAUGCUUCGACAUGAGUGCAUCAAACACUUGGUAAGAUUUUACUACUUAAGAAAUUGUUUAAUUUUCUUAUACCAUUUCAUUAUUUGAAAAUAUAAAUAUUUUCCUUUCUACUGAAAACUAAUAAUUCAAACUGGAUUGUUUUCAGCUGAUAUAAUUUAGGGUGUUACAAAAUCUACCCCUCUAAAAAGAAUCUCGUCCUCGAGAUUAGGGAAGGUUAGCAAGAAAACAAAGGUGAUACAUGGUUUAUUUGUAGGUUCUUAGUUCUCAUUGAACUCCUCCAAACUUAAGGAACUUCCUUACUUCUUUGCUCCAAAAUGUAUACUAAUCAAGCGACCUUCAUCAUCAUACUUAUAAAAUGGUGGGUCUUCUGAAUUAUUGUUUGGGUCUUGCUUGGCAGCUUUCUUCUCUUGUCGGUCUAGACGCUUCUUGGGGCAUUCGCGAAUAAGAUGUCCUUCGUUUUUGCAGUAGUAGCAAGCACCUCUUGCUUUGAGUUCUUUGUGAGUCAACUUUGCUUGACUAACAGGGGAUGAGGGUUGAUUGGGUGUCUGUAUCUCAUAUAGCUGAGCUUGACUUGAUUCUUCUGUUUGGGUAUCCAUGUGUUUCGUGGCUUUUGCUUGUGGUUGGGGUGAACUAAUCAUAUAUCCAAACAUUUUUCUAUUCCUUUUGUUGUUCUUCAUUCCAUUCAUCGAAUAUCUCUGUGACUCAUUUUUCUCGUUCAUAGUUGUUAAGGUAGGGAUAUUGUCAUUGGCACCAUUUACUUCAUUUCCAUUGGGGUUCAUUAUCUAGUCAGAGGAUAAAAGAGUUAGUGAGACAGACUGCAUAAGAGGCUUGUAUGACAUUAAGAUAAAGAGCUAACACAACGUUUUAAUUUCCAAUAUAAGAUUAGUUAAGGAACAAGGGUGGUUUCAGAUUUCUACUAGCUUCAUCAUACUACAAGAGCGUACAAGUGUUAUAAUCCUUAGCAUAGAUCCUUUUGAACCUUAUAAAUUAUAGAGCAUGAUAUCCAAAUAAUCUUUCUGAUCCAAGAGUAUUUCUUUGAGCACAAUUUGAGAGAAAAACUUGAGCGGGACUUUAGGGCAACUAGAGUAGAGCAUCACAUUGUUUGCAUAUAGUAGAUGACAACAUACUUUAUUUCCUUAUAAAGAGGCAAAACACCGUAGGUGUGAAAGAUUCUCCAAAUUUAUUCAUAUAUCACUUAGCACUAUUACAAAUCUUGAAAGGGGCAACACUUUGACAUUUUUUUUUGUGAGACAUACUCCUUCUAGCUAAAUGAUAUAGUAUUCUUCCUUGUCAGAUGCACCAAUCAGAGCUGGAGGUCGAUUGUCUUCAACUACUAUUCUUUCUCCAGAUGGGGUUUCCAAACAUAUGGUUCUAUGUUGGAUUACUGCUUUAGUUCUUUGUAACCAAUUCUUUCCAAGAAUCACAUCCUUUCUCAUUGAUUCUAUCACUAGGAGAUCAGCUGGAAAAUCUAUCCCGUUGAUUUUAACACUUACUUUCGGACAUAUGUAGUUUACUAACAUUUUUCCUUCAGGUGUACUGAUGGUCUUCCUUGAUCUCAAGGGACACUUAAAGAUACCAUACUUUGUUGCAAACUGGGCACUGAUAAAAGAAUGUGUCGUAUGAGGAUCAUACAACACGGUGGCGAUGAUUGAGUGAAUGACUAGUGUUCCAAAAAUCACUGCAUUAUCAUAUGGAAUGGUUCCUGUCACUGUAUAACUUAUCUUUCUUGUGGUCUCUUUCUGUUGUUUAUUCUUUGUUGAUGCAUGGGUUUGAGGGUGUUGUCUUUUCUUUUGGACCUUAUUGAUGUCUACAUCCUUCUUAGGACAACCAUUAACAAGAUGGCCGGUAUCACCACAGCCAAAGCAAGCACGACUUGAUAAGUUACACGAUGGAGUUGUCUUUACGUUGUUGGUAGAAGUUUCUGUGUAUUUUUGUUCAUAUUCCAUGUCUGAAGACUGAGAUGGCUUCAUCUCGGAGGUGAUAUGUAGUGAACUCUUCUCAGGACAGUUACGGAAGUAAUGACCUUCACGUCCACAUUGAUAGCAAGCUUUUCUUGAAGUUAUUUCUUGACUUUUUCCAUAUUUCCCUUUUCGUUUCUUGGACCUGAUGCAACGACGAGGCUGAAACUAUGUGCAAGUAAUAGUCCAUCCAUCAAUGUAACACUCAUGUAUUUCUUCUUGGGGCUGGGCAUCCUUGUGAUGUUUCCUUUUUGGAAUACCUGACAAUUCAUCGUCUGAUAGUGCAUCUGCUAUUAGUUGUUCUUGGGGAGACCAUUGUCUUUUUAUACCAGAAAACAAAAUCUGGUUCUUCUGUUUUGUAGUUUCACUUUCGUUUGUACUGAUCUGGCGAUAAGGAAUUCCAUAGUACUCACAACAACAACAUGUUCCAAGGUCACUUGUUUGUUGGUUUGGUUGGGCAUCCUUUUGUGUCUUGAAUGUCUGUUCAUCAACUGUUUUAUUUAUAGUGUUGUUUUGACUUGCCAACACACCGCAUUCUUUGCACUUAAUGACAUCACUUGCAGUUGACAUUCCAAGGUCUGACAUCUGUAUGGGUAUGGAAGAAUGGAAGGGACGAAAGGGUUGAGUAAAGAUAGAUUAUAGAGAGCAGAGAAAACCCAUCUAUCUAUGGUUUUACCUAGCUAACUGAUGCCAUUGUGGACAAAAGUCACACAAUACACCAACAAUCAUUUCAAAGAAGAAAUCAAACAUGAACACAAAGGACAAUGAACUCAAGCAUACCAGCACAACAUAAUCCAAUUAUACUCAUUCAACCAAAACAAAAAGGUGAGACGAGGUUUGGAAUAAGAAAGAUAUUAUGACAUCAAGGAGUUGGGUAAGAAUUAUCAAGGAGUUAGACAAGACAUAUUUGUUGGUGGCCAAGAGUGAAAUAAGAUAAUCAUGAACUAUUAAAUUCAGAAUAAAUGAUACAACCAAGGAUAUAAAGUGAGUUAGGGAGAAAGCAUUAUCAAGGAGUAGAGAGCCAAAGGUUUCAUACAUCAAGGUAGAUAUUGCGCAAGGGUGGCAAUACAAUGGCAUGAAAGCAAAAGUAUAAGAAUUCAAUAGGGAGAAAGCAUUAUCAAGGAGAGAAGUAGAGAGACAAAGGGUUCAAUAUAUCAAGGUAGAUAUUGUCCAAGGAUGACAAUACAAUGGCAAGAAAACAAGAGUAGAAGAAAUCAAGGGUUAUAUAACAAUCUUAGGAAUUAGAAAACCACUUAUAAUAUAAUAUCGCCAUUACCGAUCUAGUCGAAAAUCUUAGCACUAUAGAACUAUCCUAUCAACCUAACCAAGAAGAAUGGUAAUAGAUCCAAGAGAUCUAUAACGAGAACUUCUUGUGGGGCAGGGAUAAGACAGAGAAUGGGGCAUCUUCAAUAGCUUCUAAAGGUUUCCUUCCGGUAGACUUCACUUCAAGUUCCACAAUCCUAACUUGAUCAUCUUGUAGUACUUCUGAGUAAAGUCUUUUGAUAGACCAAAAUCAGACUAGAAGAGUUGAAAAUAAAAGAGACGAGUUUUGAUAUAAAGUAAGUUUUUAUGGAGGACAAUAUAUCAAGCUUUUGAAAGACUGACUGGGUUUUCCAUUUCUAACUAAUCUAGCGACCUACGGUCACAUUGCUUUGAUACCACUUCUGUCACACCCGUUUCCAAGGGCAGAGCCGGGUGCAUAGCAUAUGUGUGCCAGGAUCUAUUUCCACACAUAUGUUGACGUCACAAGUGUAAUAUAUCAAAAGAACAAUGCAUAAAAGCGUAAAUAACGAUUAUAUUAACAUAUUACACUUUGAACAGACAUAAUGUCUUAACCUUUAUUCAUCAAAGUACAGCGAAACAAGGACAUCCAUCCACAGGAAGAUGACCGGGGGUAUCACUAGACUAGCAUCCACGGAGUUCAGCAUCAUAUCUUCAUCUGCAACUUCUGAUCAAAAUUAAGCAAGGGUGAGCUCACUUAUGGUCGGGGCUCAGCAAGUGGGGGAAAAACUAAUGCAAGUCUAACAAGGUGAGGCUGAGGUUGAGCAGUAAGCAUUUUAGUUGGUCAACAUUUUAUUAACAACACCUGUCUUAAUAAUAAGUGUGAAUCCCAAGUAUUCCCAUUAAGCAAAUGUAUAAGAGUAUAUCAAAAACACUUAAGUGAAACCACUUAAGCAAAACCAUUGGCAGAUCAUCGGAUCUCGAUUUAUUUCCAUCUUCAAGUUCAAUUAUCAUGUGAGGAGUCCAGGCUGCUCAUAACCGUGAGCACGGCUGAUAUAUCAGUUUUACACUCUGCAGAGGUGGCGCAUCUUUACCCAUGAGUCGUGAUUCCCUUUUAGCCCGGGUUAGCUAGACCCGUAUUCACUUCCGAGGUGAAUGGCCAGGGUCUCACUACGAGGCUUCUCCCUAGAGUCCUCAUUACGCAAAUGCUGGAAAUGGUCAAACUGCAUAAGGCACACCUACCGUAACCAACUUAUAGUCCAGACUACAGGGUAAAGCUUUGGGAACUAUGCCCGUAUCCAAUCUGCCUGAGCCGGAACUAUAAGAGCUUGUCAGAUGCCCCCGUUCCUGUCGACCACGACCAGCACCCAACAUAAGACUUCCCUAGUUAUUUAGCCAAGACCAGAGCCAUGAUAGUUCUCAUGGUAGCACUGUUUUCCCGGGUGGUCACUCCAUGUUCCAAUUAAUAUGCAAUAAUCUUGUUUAACCAUCGGGUUAACAACAAUAAAGUAAACUUACCAUUUGGAACAUUAAUAUCAUAAGCGGGAGUGACUGCAUAAAGUUAAGUUGUAGCAAUAGCAUAGCUACGAAAGUAAAGUAUAAUACCCAGGUUUGAUCAAGGAAUAAGGUUGGAAAGGUUAUCUAAAUAGGUAACCCGUCAAAUUAUGCAUAUAUUAAUCGAAGAAUAAACUUUAUUAAAUGUAUUGUUUGGGAUCAAAUAGAGUAUGCAGAGGGAGAAGUCCACUUGCCUUGCUUAUUGAAAACUUGAGGUUCUUCCACGAAAUAUAUCUUGAUUCUCAACUACUAGAUCAACCACUGAAUAUCACACAAACAAACAAGAAGAACAAACACCACUCAAUAACAUACAACAUUCACCAUACGUAAAGCUAAAAGAAAGCCUAACGAAAAGAGCGUUCGCUUUUCAAAUACGUCGCAAGUCAUGGUUAUAAUAAGAGAGUAUUUUUUUUAAAAAAAAUAUGUGAUCUAUACUUUAUAAAACAAGACAUGAGCUUAAAAUAUCUUAAUUAAAAUAUGCAAAUAUUAGGUUCAUUAAUUUUAAUCUUUUAUAAAACGUCAUACGUGACACGUCUAAGAUAAAGGGUUUAUAAGACGAUAAAACAUGUUAUAACGAUAUUAAACAUUUCUAACUUUUUAGAAUAGAUAUAAGUUAUAUAUAUCUAGGGUUAAUGGGCUACUAAUCACGUUAUUAAUUUUAGAAGCACUAUGGAGCAUAUUAUUAAUCAUUCACUUAUGACAAAUUAAGAUAUAAGUCUAAAUAGGUUUUAUGUGAAAAGAUCAUAAUUAUAUUAUUAACCACCUAUUUAAGACGAGUUAAGUUAUGGGCCUUAAGUGGAUUUUCAUGCAAAAGAUAAUAAACGCAUAACCAUCAUUUAAUGUCAUUAAAAAGCACAUAGCCUAUAUUAUUAUAUUUAAAGUCAAUAUAUAUAUAAAGUAACAUUUUAAGUUAUAAAAGAACUUAAACUCUUAUUACUUUAUUUUAUCCUUUAGGAAAAACUAAAUGAUUUAUAUAACAUAGACUAAAUUCUAUAAAACCAUUAAUCAUGCCAUAAAUCUAGUUAAGAACAAAUUGACUAUAGGUUUGAUUAAUAAAUUAUGAUAAAGAAUAAUUAAUCUAUUAAUUAUCUUUAAUUCUAUUGUAGGAACAAAUGAUCUAAUUCAUUAGAAAGGAAAUUAUGUAUAAACUAUCAUUUUAGUUUAUAAAACAAUGACCCAUGUUAUCUUUUAAUUAAGAAAAUAUAAAUAAUCUAUUAAUCGAACAUAUAUUUAUCUUCUAUUUUUACUAAAAAACAUAUGGUUACAUAUUCUUUUAAGUUUCUAUUUAAUACGGCUAUACUUAAACAUCUAUAAUGAACCUUGUUAAAUAUAAUAUCUAUUAAAAAGGUCAUUUUAAAGUUAGAAACAAAUUAUCUAAUUCUUUAGUAAGAAACCUAUAUUUACCAAUAACUAUCAAUUUCUUUAUUAGAAAAGUAUGAGCGUCUAAUUGGCUUAUUUUAACAUUAUUAUAAAAUUCUAUCUUUCGGUUUUCUCCUUUCUUUUCUAAAUAGAAUUUAUACGUAUAACUAAAAAUUGUUUAUUUAAUUCUUCUAACAUUAAUAUACUAAGAAUUAAUUGUAGAUUACUAAAUGAGACUUUUAAUAGUCUAUUCAUGGUUAUUAUGACAUAAAUAAGUAUCUUACUAUUCUAAGUAAUUAAGCACUAUAUUUAUGAAUACAUUUAUUAUGAAUAGUAACAUAUAUAUUUUCAUUUGACCGGAAAUAUGUGGCUUAAUACUUAUUUCAAUUUUUUUUUCAUGCAAAUAAGUUCACACUUAAAAUACUACUAAUAAUUAUCGUUCCACACACUAAAGUGAAAUCAAAUCUAUAAACGUUUUCUAGUAUGAAAAUCACCACGGUAGUGAAUAGUGACCGUAUUUAUUUUUAGAAAUAUAAAAUCCUACGCAUAUUAAAAGUGUUGUCGCGGGGUUCAACUUUAGCUACACGUAUAUAUCGAAAUCUCUAAAUCAUACACGUGAAUCGCAUCGACUCAAUAUUACACCAAUAUUUCACAAAAUUUAAAACAUGCUUUAGAGAAUAAAUUAACAGAUUGUCUUUAACCUUGGGUUCUCGCUCAUGCGCAGGGAUGAACGUCGGCGAGGGGGUUUCGACCGUGUACAGGAGGGACAGUGGGUUUGGCGUCGAGCAGAGAACGACGCGGUCGUCGAUAGACGUCGAGGUACAAACUCCGGCGAGGCUCCACGGACUCCGGGACAGACGGCGAACGACGAACAACUACGUGGUGAUGAUGUUGCGCGCAGGUGGGCUAGUGGCCGAGGUGCUAAUGCAUGGCGAAUGGUGAGGGAGAGAGAACCGAGAGGAGGGAGAGAGCUUGGGGUAGGGAGAGUGAAGGGCUCGGCUGGGGGUUUUAUAGAGAGGGAGGGAGAGGAGAGGACGCCAGGGUCUUCAAGCUACCAUUAGUGGCGUGCAUCAAUGGAGGGAAGAGUGGGGAGGGAGUAAUGGAUGCAGUAACCUCCAUUCACACAGAGAAACGGACGGUAAUGAAGGUCCAUUAACGAGGUUAGAAGAACGGACGGGGCACGGGUGGCGCGGUCGGUUUCCAGGCAUCGCGCGCUGGGCGCAGCUUCUCGGUUGGCGUGCACGGCUCGGUCGGCGUCGGCUUCAAAGCAUGGUCGUCGCGCGGCUUGGGGCCGGCUCUGCUAGCGCUCGACUCGCACAAGGUCGCGGCCGGACAGUCGGUGUCGCGUGGCACUUCGGCUGGCGCGCACGGCUGGCGAGCGUGUAGGCGCAGUCGGCGUCGAGGCGGGAUCCUGGGCGCCGGUCGGGUGAGCAGUGGAGAGAAGAGAGAAGGAGCAGAGGAGAGAGGAGGGAGAAAAGUGGCGGCGGCCAGCAGGAGAGAGGGCGCGGCUUAGGGAAGGAGAGGAGGCGGCUGUUAUGGGGAAGGGAAAGAAACAACGGCUGCUCCACUAGUGGGCGUCGUGGGGAGCCAGAGAGCCGGUCGGCUGCUAUAAUCCCUUCGGCGAAAUGUUUGAUGUCCAUGCGGUGUGCGGCUGAGAAGAAAGGACUGUGCGAUGGGCCCCACUGUGCAGAGAGAAUAGGACUAUAGGAGAGGGAGCACGGUUCGGCAAGGGAAAAAACUGAGCAAGAGCUCGGCAAGGGAAUUCAUCAUUUUUUUCUUUUUUUUAGAAUAGAUGUGUGUGCGUGAGUGUGUUUGCGUUUUGUUUUUUUUUUCUUUUCAAAUUCCCUAAACGUUUUCCUUCUUUUCUUUUUUUUGACUAAUAGAUAAAUGUUAGUAUAUAUAUUUACAUAUUUUAAAAUUUAUAAUAAAUUUAAAAGAUAAUAUUUUAUAAAUAAGAACACCCAAAUUUUAAAGAAUAAAUCUUUUUAGUCAAAAUUCUAUUAUUUAAAUAGAUUGGGUUCCACAAAAAGUAAAUCGAUAAAAUAAAAUACAUACAAACAAAAAUUAUUACCCUAUGUAUAUUAUUUUAACAAUUUCAUCAUUAUCGUUUUGUAAAAAUGAGAUUUUAUUCACAAGAUCAAAUCCAUAAAUUGGAUUUACAAAUCGAUUCAAAGAAAAUAUAUGCUUCGACAUGAGUGCAUCAAACACUUGGUAAGAUUUUACUACUUAAGAAAUUGUUUAAUUUUCUUAUACCAUUUCAUUAUUUGAAAAUAUAAAUAUUUUCCUUUCUACUGAAAACUAAUAAUUCAAACUGGAUUGUUUUCAGCUGAUAUAAUUUAGGGUGUUACACCAUCCGACAAACGCUGGGAGAAGAGGCCUCGUGAAGAGGUACACGCUGCCGGACCACCCGCCUCUCGCGCCCGAGGAGGGCCUCGAGGAGGCGAGCGCACGCUGGACGACAUCCUCGACGCCCAGUGCCCGUACCACAAAGACAUGCGCCACACUCUCCGCAACUGCCGGGAUUUCAAGCACUCCGUCGGGCAUGGCCGACCCUUCCAACCCCUACCACCUCCUCCGCCGAGGGGAGGACCAGGUGAACCACGACAGCCCCAUCAGCCGGAGGAGGGAGGAGGAGGAGCUUUCCCGCGCGUUGACAGGGAGGUCAACGUCAUCUUCGGCGGACAUGGGUCGCAGGAGAACAAAAGACAACAAAAGCUCAACGACCGCCAGAUACUGGUGGCGACCACCGGCCCUCCCGCCCCAUACCGGUGGUCGGAGCACCCAAUCACUUUCACUCGGGAGGAUCAAUGGCUCAACUUUGACCAUCCAGGCAAAUACCCGCUCCUCGUCGAUCCGGUGAUCCGAGAGAGCCGGGUAAAGAAGGUGCUAGUGGACGGGGGGAGCAGCAUCAACGUCACCUUCCCCCGUACGCUCCAAGGCUUGGGAGUUCACCUCAAAGAGCUCCACGAGUCAGACACUCCUUUCUUCGGCAUCGUGCCGACGGAAGGGGAAUACCCGCUGGGCCACAUCUACAUGUCGGUCACCUUCGGGACUCCGGAUAACUACAGAACCGAGUUCCUGAGGUUCGAGGUGGCGAACUUCGACUGCGGGUACAACGCCAUCAUCGGAAGGCCGGGGCUAGCCAAAUUCAUGGCCAUCCCGCACUAUACCUACAUGAUACUGAAGAUGCCAGGACCGCAAGGAAUCAUAACUGUGCGCGCCGACUUCCAAGGCGCCGCAGAAUGUUUCCGAGUGGCCAUCCAAGCAGCCCUCACCACCAAGCCGUCGACGGUUCCUUCUACGCCGGCGAACUCUAAGCCUGAGGAAGACCUCGCCGUACCGGCAAACGAAGCUCAGGCCGCGACCUCUAUGCGGCCGACUGAAGAAACCAAGCGAAUCAACCUGGGGUUCGCUGAUGAGCGCAAGACGGCCAUCAUCAGCUCCAGUUUGAAUGACAAAUAGGAAAGCGCGCUCGUCCAGUUCCUGCAAGAUAACCGAGACGUAUUCGCAUGGCAACCUGCAGAUAUGCCGGGAGUCCCGAGGGAGUUGGCCGAGCACAAAUUGAAAGUCUAUCCUCAGGCGAGGCCGAUCUGGCAAAAGCUGCGUCGUUUCACACCAGACAAGAGAGAGGCCAUUCGUGUCGAGUUAGCUCGCUUGGUCGCGGCUGGAUUUAUUAGAGAAGUAUUACACCCCGAGUGGUUAGCCAACCCUGUUCUUGUACUCAAAAAGAAUAAAGUGGAUUGGCGCAUGUGCGUCGACUAUACUGAUCUCAACAAACACUGUCCGAAGGAUCCCUUCGGGCUCCUGAGGAUAGAUCAGGUGGUGGAUUCCACCGCUGGGUGUUCUGUGCUGUCUUUUUUAGAUUGCUAUUCCGGGUAUCAUCAGAUUAGUUUGGCAAAAGAAGACGAGUCAAAAACGGCGUUCAUCACCCCGUUUGGUGCUUUAUGUUAUACCUCCAUGCCGUUCGGCCUCAAAAACGCUGGAGCGACUUAUCAGAGAGCCAUUCAAACAUGCUUAGCCGAUCACUGGGGCAAGCGUGUGGAGGCUUACGUAGACGACAUGGUGAUCAAAACGGAGAAUCCGGAAAACUUCAUCGAAGACUUACAGCUGGUUUUCAACAGCCUGAGAAGAUAUAGAUGGAAGCUCAAUCCUGAAAAAUGUGUUUUCGGGGUACCAGCAGGAAAGUUGCUCGGAUUUAUUGUCAGCCACCGGGGAAUUAAAGCUAAUCCAGAUAAGAUUGAAGCUAUCAUGAAGAUGGAAGCUCCUCGGUCGCAAAAGAAAGUUCAGCGACUCACUGGAUGUAUGGCAGCCCUGAGCAGAUUUAUAUCCAGGCUGAGAGAAAAAGGUCUGCCAUUUUACAAACUACUCAAGAAGGUGGAUAAGUUUCAAUGGACUUCAGAAGCACAAGAAGCUCUAGACGCACUGAAGAAAUUCCUGACAACACCACCAGUAUUGAAACCGCCCCGGCGAGCUACGCCGACUCAACCGGCUGAAAAUUUGCUGCUAUAUAUCUCUUGCACGACUCACGUGGUAAGCACUGCGUUGGUAGUCGAGCGAGUGGAAGAAGGGCAUGCCUAUCCGGUACAACAUCCUGUUUAUUUCAUCAGUGAGGUUCUAGGCCCAUCGAAGAAAAAGUAUCCUCAAGUUCAGAAGCUAUUAUAUGCAGUACUUCUAACUGCCCGCAAGCUGCGCCACUACUUUGACGAUCACAAAGUCAUAGUAGUUACUGGUUUUCCAAUAGGGGAUAUUCUUCACAACAAGGAAGCCAUUGGCCGAAUAGCCAAGUGGGCUUGCGAGUUGGGAUCCCAUGAUAUCGAGUUCCGACCUCGCACUGCCAUCAAGACUCAAGCACUGGUUGAUUUCGUAUCAGGGUGGACAGAACAGCAAGUUCCAGACAAUCCAGAAACGGCAGAAGUAUGGCGAAUGUAUUUUGAUGGCUCGCUGAAGCUGCAGGGAGCAGGAGCAGGGAUUCUCUUCACCGCACCUGGAGGCGAGCACCUCAAGUAUGCUCUCCAGUUGCUAUUCCCGGCCUCUAACAACGCAGCAGAGUAUGAAGCUUUGAUACACGGAUUAAACAUCGCCAUAUCAUUGGGCGUCAAGAGACUGAUGGUGUAUGGAGAUUCUCUGGUAGUCAUCAGUCAGAUAAACAAGGAAUGGGAUUGUUCAAGUGAUUCAAUGGGAAAAUACUGCGCCGCCGUCCGAAAGCUAGAGGAUAAAUUCGAGGGUCUGGAGUUUCAUCAUAUAGAAAGAGAUCGGAACACGGCGGCCGAUGUACUGUCCAAGCUCAGAUCCGGUCGGACUCAGGUCCCGCCCGGGGUCUUCGUGCAAGAAAUUCUCCAGCCGAGCAUCUCGACGGAUCAAAUAGAAGAGUGCAACAUCAUAGAUCAACCCAAGUCAGACUCUGAUGACUGGAGACAACCGAUUAUUAAGUAUAUAAAGAAUGAAGAAGAACCAGAUGACAAGAACUCGGCAGAGCGCAUUGCCAGACAAUCAGCUCACUAUACACUCAUUGGGGAGGAAUUAUACAGAAGGGGAGCAUCAGGAGUUCUCAUGAAGUGCGUUCUUCCGUCCACCGGGAAACAACUUCUGGAGGAAGUCCAUGCAGGGCAAUGUGGAAUACAUGCAGCAUCCAGAACACUGGUCGGGAAGGUUUUCAGGUCAGGAUUCUAUUGGCCGACGGCGAAGAGCGAUGCAGCCGAGUUAGUUCAGAGAUGCGAAGCUUGCCAAUACUUGUCAAAGCAACAGCAUAUGCCUGCACAGCAACUGCAAACCAUACCAGUAACCUGGCCUUUCGCAUGUUGGGGACUGGAUAUGAUUGGACCUUUCAAGAAAGCUCAAGGGGGAUAUACUCAUGUACUGGUGGCGAUUGACAAAUUCACUAAAUGGAUAGAGUUCAAGCCCAUUGCUUCUUUAACCUCUGCUAAGGCCGUGGAAUUCAUACAGGAUAUAAUAUUCAGAUUCGGGAUACCAAACAGCAUCAUCACUGACUUAGGAUCCAACUUCACCAGCUCAGAAUUCUUUGACUUUUGCGAGCAAAAAAGCAUUCAGAUCAAGUACGCAUCUGUAGCACAUCCAAGAGCCAAUGGGCAGGUUGAGCGAGCCAACGGAAUGAUACUGGAGGCACUCAGGAAAAGAGUCUUCGAUAAUAAUGAAAAAUUCGCAGGAAAGUGGAUAAGAGAGCUGCCUUAUGUUGUUUGGAGCCUGAGAACUCAACCUAGCCGAGCCCUGCAUGGAAACACUCCUUUCUUCAUGGUCUAUGGGUCGGAGGCAGUGCUGCCCGCUGAUCUCAAAUUCGGGGCGCCAAGAUUGAUCUUCGAAAGCAUAGCAGAAGCCGAGGCCACCAGGCUGGAGGAUAUUGAUGUACUCGAGGAAGAACGACUGAAUGCGGUGAUCCAAUCCGCACGGUACCAGCAGACUCUGAGGCGUUAUCACGACAAGGCUGUGCGGCAACGUUCCUUUUCGAUAUGGGACCUCGUCCUCCGCCGAAUUCUAACGGGGGAGGGACGGCACAAGUUGUCACCCUUAUGGGAAGGGCCUUUCAUAGUAUCAGAAGUCACUCGGCCCGGAUCGUAUCGUCUCACUCAGAUGGCUGGCACAGAAGUUGGGAACUCCUGGAACAUAGAGCACCUCAGAAAGUUUUACCCCUAGCUGUAUUUCAAAACAGCCGGGGCGACCAUGUACUCUGUAAAGUGGAAAUAUGUCAUCAAUAAAGAUAGAUUUCAAAGAUACUCGGUUCGUUUACGAUUGACUUGCAUUCUUACUUAACUCGGGGUGACCACUAUGCCCUACAAACGGAGCAAUCGACUUAAGUCGGCAACGACUUAAGGCGGUGCAACAAGCUCACGCUUACUUAACUCGGGGUGACCACUAUGCCCUACAAACGGAGCAAUCGACUUAAGUCGGCAACGACUUAAGGCGGUGCAACAUGCUCACGCUUACUUAACUCGGGGUGACCACUAUGCCCUACAAACGGAGCAAUCGACUUAAGUCGGCAACGACUUAAGGCGGUGCAACAUGCUCACGCUUACUUAACUCGGGGUGACCACUAUGCCCUACAAACGGAGCAAUCGACUUAAGUCGGCAACGACUUAAGGCGGUGCAACAUGCUCACGCUUACUUAACUCGGGGUGACCACUAUGCCCUACAAACGGAGCAAUCGACUUAAGUCGGCAACGACUUAAGGCGGUGCAACAUGCUCACGCUUACUUAACUCGGGGUGACCACUAUGCCCUACAAACGGAGCAAUCGACUUAAGUCGGCGACGACUUAAGGCGGUGCAACAUGCUCACGCUUACUCAACUCAGGGUGACCACUAUACCCUACUAACGGAGCUAUCGGCUAAAGUUGGUGGUAGCUUAAGCCGAUGCAGCAUACUCACACCUAUAUAAUGCAAGGGAUGAUUUCCAUAUCCCACGAACAAAUUUCAUAAUCAUCACGCAACAUUACCACAAAUCUACGAACUAACAAAUUCUGAUACAAUAAGGGAGUAAUCAUAUCAUUCGAAUGAUAAGCUGAUGUCUUCUAACGAAUGUUUGAUCAAGCUAACUGCGCGCUCAGAGCACGCAAAAUGUUUCCCUAUUUUUCAAUAUUUUUCUCAGGAACGACCGACGAAGAAGGGCGAUUCGAGGAAUCGGGGGUAGCAUUCACAUCAGCCUUUAUGUCUUCAGGAACAACCACGCCGGGUCUUCUCAUCAAGAUUCGUCCAGCACGAAUAGCCUUGUCCAUGGCUUUAUCGCGCUGGGCUCUGAGAGUAGCGGCAGUUUCUUCGGCAACUUUAGCGGCCAGCUGAGCAACCUCCAACUCCUGGGCAAUGGUUUUCUUGGAAGCUCGGAGUUCCUUGACAGUGGCAUCCUUCGCUGACAUCAAUUGCUUAAGGCGGGUCACUUCGUCCACAGAUUCUUGCAGCCUACAACGCUGAUUGUCCAGUUCCUCCAUUGUGAAGCGGUGGCUCCUCUCCAAGAUGGUCAGCGAGUUGCUAGAGUCACGAUAUAGUCUGUCCAGAUUGUCACGAGAAGCAGCAAGGAUACGUUUUUCUUCCUACAAACAAAAAUCAACUCAUUCAGAAUCCAAGCAUGUAAUAAGGCAAAGCACGGUUUUGUAAGUUACCUUUUCAGAGUCAAGCCGAGCAUGAAGGGAAGAGCUCAGAGCAUUGGCGUCAUCCAAAGCAGCGGAGACCUGAUUCAGUUCAGUCUGGCUCUGAUAAUACUUCUCUUCGAAGUCAGCACACCGUUGAGCCAUUUUAGUUCGAUCUCGGGAAUGUUUCUCUUCAAGGGCUACAAUCUGCCGAGUCAUUCCUAUCAAGAGGUAAUCAAACGAAAGGAGGUCAGAAGGUAAAACAAUCUACGAAUAAAGGCAAGGAAGAAGAAUAAGAGCACUAACCAGCGUUAGUUGCCUCCAACUCGGAUACACGACAAUGAAGCGACACCGGAUUCCAACGCUCAAGAGAUGAAGCCACUUCUGGGAUGAAAGCACCCUGCGAUCUCAGCUGGCUGGCCAUCCCAUCAACCAAAGCUUGAUGAGAAGAGCGGAUGAGCAUAAUGACAAAAAUUCAUGCAACGUAAAGAUUAAGCUAAAAGUACAGCACAGUACCUGGAGGUUGGAAAAGAACGAAGAGAUCCCCAAAUCAGGAGAGAUCAGCUGAUAACCAGGUGCAAGACCACCAUCCGAAGUAGUUUGCAACGGACCAGUAGGAAUCAGCUCAGUGCCUUCAAUAGAGCCAGACGCCAGAUCAGCGGGGACGCUGCCCUCUAAAGCGACUCCCAGGUCCGGAGUUUGGGCUACAACCAUGCAGCUAGAGUGUGGAGGCGAACCCGCAUGAACGUCCAUGGAAGUGCAGGAAGGAGACCCUGCUCGGGCACCCUCGGGGGCUGGGACACAGUUGGCACUGCCCACUUGAGCCGGAUCAUCCCCGGCAACACCCUCGGGGGCUGGGCAGUGGCUUACAUUCUUCGCCCGAGCUAAGCCAUCCCUGGCGACAUCCUCGGGGGCUGGGCAUGUGUCAGCACCAUUCUUGGGGCCCAUGCUCUCUGCAGUAACCACCUCUAAGGUUGACAGGCCCUCAGCCACUUCCAUGGGACCAGGACAAUCCAAGUCAGCAUCCUGACCCUCGAGAUCGCGCUCUAAGGUCGACGAGGCACGGGACGACCUCAGCCCAGCAUCAGGCACGGCAGCGCAGAUCUCAGUUGCGUCAACAUCCACAGGCUCUGAUAACAAGUCCUCUGGGACCAUAUCCUCCAGAGUUUGCUCAAAGUUGGCCAGGGACAGUUCUUGCAGACCAAUAAGGGCAGACAAAGCAGGAGAAGGAACUCCACUACUUCCACCACUGGCGAUGAACUGCCGACUGUUUUUCCGAGUUAAAGGAACUUCAUCUUCUUCCUCCUCAUCUUCCACAGUAACAAUGCAAGCAGCACCCCCAUUGGGAUCGGCAACACAUGGAGCACACCCAUUGGGUUCAGUAGCAGUUUGGUCACACCCAUUGGGGUCAGCGUCGGUAAGGCCGGUUGCAGGCACUCCUUCAGCAGCAGGAGCUAAGGUACCGGCGUCUUCAUCAAAGCUGGAUACUCGCCGGAGGCGUCUUCUCUUUUUCUUUUGCUCAUCAGCAGAAGGCUCGGGCUGACUGGCUCGGCUAGGGCGCUUUGGACGAGUGCUGACAGGUUUCGGGACAUCCAAAGUUGUAUCAAUCUCUGGAAGGGGCACCACUGCCAAGGUACCAUCAGGAGCAGCAUCGGACGAAUCCUCAACUAAUAGAUCAAGCAUAUCAUUUAUGUCAGCAUCACUGGGGUUCAGAGGCACUUCAAAAUAAACCUGCCGUUCAUCAUCAGGAAUUGCCCCGAGCGAAGCAACCAAAGUACUGACUUCCUCAGCAGAGGGUCGCACCCUAAGACCCAAAUUGCUGUCAGUCACAGGCGGAUUGGACACAAAAAGGAUGAAAGCUUUGGGAGGAGGUAGGUUCCAAGCCGAGUAUGCCACUGGAGCACCAACAUUCGAAACUUUACCCCUGAGGAUCGUUUCAAGUCAGUUUACCAAGUCAACAGAAGGAAUUCUCUUAUUGGUAACCCGAGUUGAGUCGGCCAGCCCUUGAUACAGAUAUGCUGGAUAGGCCCUGUCUUUCAGUGGCUGAAUGUUCUUGAAAACAAAAUCAGUGACCACAUCUUCGGCAGUCAAACCUCUCUCUUUCAGUAAUCUAACUUCGGUAAGCAACACACCUGCCUCGGCAACUUCCUGAUCUGUGGGAGACUCAGUCCAACUCGGAGUGCGAACGUCUGGCUGUCUUCCUGACCGGGAAGGGAGAGAAUUUCCAUAAUUGUCAACUAUAAACCACUCCAGACGCCACCCUUUAAUGCUAUCUUUGAGGGGAAUCUCAAGAUACUCAGUCUUCCGCCCACGGCGCAUCUCCAAACUAGCACCUCCGACCAGCUGAUGUUGCCCCCCAGCCAUUCCAGGGCGGCAGUGAUACAGAUACUUCCAUAAACCAAAAUGCGGCAGCACACCGAGGUAGGCUUCGCAUAGGUGAACGAAAAUGGAGAUUUGGAGAAUGGAAUUAGGGUUCAAGUGGGUCAAGUUGAUAUGAUAAAAGUCAAGAAGGCCACGGAAAAAAGGAGAGAUUGGAAGGCCGAGGCCGCGGAGAAGAAAAGGAGCAUAAACUACUGACUCAUGGGUAUCUUCGGUUGGGACAGUAGUCCCAUGGCAAAUCCGCCAAGAACAGAGUUCCCGCGGAGGAAGAACCCCAAUGGAGACAAGACGGAGAAGAUCAGUUUCGGAAAUAACGGACAUGUGGUUACCUGCGAAAGGUAACUGACUGUUGGGGUCGAUUGCGGGGAUCACCGCAGCAGACGAGUUCGCAGCUUUUCUCUUGGGCGCCAUCUUGCUUCUCACUGGCGGGCAGGGUAGGAGGCGAGUGGCAGAGGAGAUUCAGAUGCGGGAAUGCAAGAACUAGGGCACGGAAAGCAAAGGCGGCUAAAAGCGCAACUCUUAUGGGAUAUUCUUGAGCCAGAUACCCAUUCAAAAAGUGCCCAGUCAUCACCCGGCGGUUAUUUCCGAAACCCCAGCAUGCCACGUGGACAUCCGACAGUUAUUUCUAAGAAAACCGACGUGCCACUUCAUCACUCGGUUAUUAUCCUCAAAAUAACUCAUGAGGCUGGCUAUCACUCGGUGUUGCCUCUAAAACGCUGACCUCGUGUUUAAUCGCUCGGCAUUACUUCUAAAAUGCCGGCGUCAACCUUCAAUCACUCGGCGUUGCCUCUAAAACGCUGACCUCGUGUUCAAUCGCUCGGCAUUACUUCUAAAAAUGCCGGCGUCAACCUUCAAUCACUCGGCGUUGCCUCUAAAACGCUGACCUCGUGUUCAAUCGCUCGGCAUUACUUCUAAAAUGCCAGCGUCAACCUUCAAUCACUCGGCGUUGCCUCUAAAACGCUGACCUACUUCUAAAAUGCCAGCGUCAACCUUCAAUCACUCGGCGUUGCCUCUAAAACGCUGACCUCGUGUUCAAUCGCUCGGCAUUACUUCUAAAAUGCCGGUGUCAACCUUCAAUCACUCGGCGUUGCUUCUAAAACGCCGACCUCGAAUUCUGUCGCUCGGCGUUACUUCUAAAAUGCCGAUGUCGACCUUUAAACACUCGGCGUUGCCUCUAAAACGCCAAACUCGUAUUCUAUCGCUCGGCAUUACUUCUAAAAUGCCGACACCGACCACGUGUUCAAUCGCUUGGCGUUACUUCUAAAAUGCCGAUGUCGACCUUUAAACACUCGGCGUUGCCUCUAAAACGCCAAACUCGUAUUCUAUCGCUCGGCAUUACUUCUAAAAUGCCGACGCCGACCUUCUAUCAUUCGGCGUUGCCUCUAAAACGCUGGUCUUGUGUUCGAUUGUUUGGUGUUACUUCUAAAAACGCUGAUGUCAACCUUCACAUCGCUCGGCGUUGUUUCUACUAUAUCAAAAGAAACAGUUCAACAUUCAGAAAAAGCAACACCGAGUCAUUGAAAAGGGGGUAAACGACAGUUCUUCAUUAAGGGGAAGUUAAUGAAAUUACAAACCAACUCUUCGCGAGUUGGUGCUUCCCUACUUCUACUCUACAUUACUACUACUACUAAACUACACUAUACUACUCUACAUUACUACUACAUUAUUCUAACUACACUAUACUAAUAUCUAAAGACCAGUGGCGUUUAGCCACUGGCCUUGCUGCUGCUGCCCUUGCCGCCGCCGCCCCUGGUGCUGCCCGUGCUGCUGCCGCCUCUGGUGCUGCCCUUGCCGCCGCUGCCCCCGCCGCCGUAGCUGCCGUCACCGUCGCCGUCGCCACCGUCGUCGUCGUCGUCGUCGUCGUCGUCAUCUUCGUCCUCGCCGCCGUCCGAGUCCUCCUCGUCCGAGAAGAACUCCCUCGAGCCCGGAGCGCUCGAUGGCCCGGAUGUACGUCCAGACCUCCGCGGCAAUCCCCUGGGAGUCGUCUGAAUCAUCAGACGACGCCGGGGGAGAGACGGGAGCCGGAGAUCCCUCGGACUCGGAGGAGAAUUCCUCCUCCGAGUAUUCCGAGUCGCCGAAAUCCUCCGACGGAGGAGUCGGCUCACGCUUGCGUUUGUGACCCUUGCCCAUGGCGAAAGCAGAUAGAAGGGAGGAGAAGGAUGCAGUAAAGAACGGCGAAGAGAUGUUAAAAAAUCAGAGGAGCAAGUGCGUUAUUUAUAGAAGGGAAAGGCAACCGCUCACUUCCAACCGCGGUCACUGAACAGUCGCAAAGCAUUCAAUAAGCACUCCCACCCAUCUGAAGACACGUCAGACGGCUGACGCCGUUUCAUGCAACACUACACCCAUUGGGACUGCAGUCAACAUCGCAAAGGAUAUGAUUACACUAGCCGUCCCAUCACAUUACUACUCAGAAGCAGCCGGCUAAAACACUCAGCGCACCAAGCCGUCCCUUGCCCACACCCAUUGGGGGGGGACGCCCAGGAAUUAUCAGUAUAUUUUUCAAAACGGUCACAUCCGUGCAGAGCACGCAGUGAAUACCUCAAGACAAAAAUGAGAUACCAGUAAGGAUCAGAGGAAAGCCAAAUAUAGCCAGCAAAGUACAAGAUGUGACCGACAGAAGCGAUGCAAUGACUAGACAGAGAACGUCCAUCAAACGUCCAAUCAGUCGCAGAAGCAAAUAAAUUGCACUACCUAGCAAGAUAUGGAUGGAUUGCAAACUCGGCUGCUAAAGACAAAAUAUAUGCUGACCUCUGCAGCAAAAUAUUGAUGACAUAAUGCUGACCUCCAAAGCAUAACGCAAAUAACUUCAUGCCAAAUUCUACAAACGAAAGAGAUGAUUUUCAGCAAAGAGGCACGAAAGGAAGACCUUCGAAUGGAUUAUCCUUAAAAAAUCCAUUUGAAGGUCGGGGGUUACACCCAUUGGGUGCACCUCCGGUGCACCCCAUGGAUUAUCAUUCUAAACCGAUAUAGCGCCGACUUCUAAGGCGUGGGACAAGAUUGAAAAGGCCAAUUCUCAACCGAGAUGCAGGAGCGCGAAUGGAGAUAAUCUUUGGGGAAGACCUUCGAGUAGAUUAUCUUCUAAAAUCUACUCAAAGGUCGGGGGCUACACCCAUUGGGUGCACCUCCGGUGCACCCAAUAAAGUCCAGAAUCCUACAAUUCAAAAUGCCGACCUCUAAGGCACAAGCACAAAACUAAACUUCGGUCGAAUGAGUGAUCGGAGCAAGAGAAGACAGCAGGAAGUCAUUUUUCGGACCUUGGAUCUUUGAGUUGAUUACCUCUAAAUCAACCCAAAGAUCGGGGGCUUGUGGGGGAUAGAUAUCCCCCGGGUCCACUAAAGAAAUAAAAUACCUCACGAAAGGCCCAAAGGCCCAAUAAAUCGUAAGGUCGUUCUUCCGUGGGCCUGGGGAAAGACAAUCAACGAAGCGGAGAAGACGUAAGACUAGAUUGGAGCAAACCCAGACGGCCCACAACGUCGAGCGAGUAAAUCGCAACAGAGACCCGACUUUCCCGCGCUGAAGCCCCCAUGCAACAGAGCCAUGCGAGGAUAAGUCGGCAAGGGUUACGUAGGGAUAAACUCGAGAGGUUUACUAUCUUUCAGCUACUUGUAGCUAUCAUAUCCACAUGUACUGCCCCACGGUCGAGUAUAUAAGGCCUAGGGGGCACCCCUUCAGAACGACCGACCCUGUUUGACAUAGCCACCCACGUAAAACUCUCUGCGCCCUCUAUCAGAGAACCCUCUUGUAACCACGCUCAUAUACUCACCAGGACGUAGGGUGUUACGCACUUCUAAGCGGCCCGAACCUGCAAAUCUUGUCUAUUGUCCCUCGUGCAAUCGGCACGAACCAUUUUGCUACAGUCGUUGACACCGUCCUACUCCUAAAAACACCUUGAGGGGCAACCCCGGGUGUGCGGUCGGACCCAAAACACCGACAACCGCCGUCACUUCACCGCUCCACUGACCGGCCUGACAGAAGGACAGCGCCGCCUGCGCCACUCCGACUGCAGUGCCAUUUGACAGAGUGAGACUGACAGGCAGUCAGGCCCUGCCAAAGGCACCAUAGGAAGCUCCGCUCCGCCCGACCUAGGGCUCGGACUCGGGCUAAGUCCCGGAAGACGGCGAACUCCGCUCCGCCCGACCCAGGGCUCGGAUUCGGGCUAGGUCCCGGAAGACGACGAACUCCGCUCCGCCCGACCCAGGGCUCGGAUUCGGGCUAGGUCCCGGAAGACGACGAACUCCGCUCCGCCCGACCCAGGGCUCGGACUCGGGCUAAGUCCCGGAAGACGGCGAACUCCGCUCCGCCCGACCCAGGGCUCGGACUCGGGCUAGGUCCCGGAAGACGGCGAACUCCGCUCCGCCCGACCCAGGGCUCGGACUCGGGCUAAGUCCCGGAAGACGGCGAACUCCGCUCCGCCCGACCCAGGGCUCGGACUCGGGCUCAGCCCCAGAAGACGACGAACUCGGCUCCGCCCGACCCCAGGGCUCGGACUCGGGCUCAGCCCCAGAAGACGACGAACUCCGCUCCGCCCGACCCCGGGGCUCGGACUCGGGCUCAGCCCCAGAAGAUGACGAACUCCGCUCCGCCCGACCCCAGGGCUCGGACUCGGGCUCAGCCCCAGAAGACGACGAACUCCGCUUCGCCCGACCCUAGUGCUCGGACUCCGCCCCGGCCUCUGCCGAACGACCUCCGCCUCGCCCGACCCAGGGGCUCGGACUCGGCCUCGGCCAUGGAAGACAGACUCGACCUCGGCUUCGGAGGAGCCUCCACGUCGCCCAACCUAGGGUGCAGGCCAGCCACGUCAACUGGAAGCGCCAUCAUCACCCUACCCCGAGCUGACUCGGGCCGCAGAGAACAAGACCGGUGUCCCAUCUGGCUAGCUCCGCCAGAUAGGCAAUGAUGGCGCCCCGCAUGCUCUGUGACGACGGCGGCUCUCAGCUAUCUUACGAAAGCAGGAGGACGUCAGCAAGGACUCAAUCGCUCCGACAGCUGUCCCUCCGCCAGGCUCCAUCGCUCCUCCGACGGCCACGACAUCUCACCAGCUGGGUGCCAAAAUCUCUCCGGCUGCCACAUUGGCAUGUACUUAGGGCACUAGCUCUCCCCCGCUAGACACGUAGAACUCUGCUACACCCCCAUUGUACACCUGGAUCCUCUCCUUACGCCUAUAAAAGGAAGGACCAGGGCCCUCUUAGAGAGGGUUGGCCGCGCGGGGAAGAGGACGGGACAGGCGCUCUCUUGGGGCCGCUCGCUUCCCUCUCCCGCGUGGACGCUUGUAACCCCCUACUGCAAGCGCACCCGACUUGGGCGCGGGACGAACACGAAGGCCGCGCGAUUCCCACCUCUCUCACGCCGGUCUCCGGCCGCCUCGCUCCUUCCCCCCUUCGCGCUCGCCCACGCGCUCGACCCAUCUGGGCUGGGGCACGCGACACUCACUCGUCGGCCCGAGGGACCCCCCCGGUCUCGAAACGCCGACAGUUGGCGCGCCAGGUAGGGGCCUGCUGCGUGUUGACGAACAGCUUCCCGUCAAGCUCCAGAUGGGCAGUCUCCAGCAACCUCUCCGACCCGGGACGGUGCUCCGUUUCGGGAGUCUUGAGUUCAUGUCCUUCGACGGCAGCUACGACAUGAUACUCCUUCCACCGCCGCGCGACAACGACAAUGGCGGCCGACAUCCCGCUAGCCGGCGGCGGAAUCGACGACGUCUUCCCCGCGUGGUGGAAGAACAACAUUCGAGCUCGCCCCGUCCUCUCCCCCACCAACGGAGGAGGAGGCGGGGCAACCAAGGCCAAGCGGGAGGCCACGCCUCGUCGGCUGUCGAGCGAGUCGAUGUCCCCAGCGCCCCAACGGGGGGCGCGUCGGGCGUCGACCUCGCGUUUGAGACGAAGGCGAGCGCCGUCUCCCCGUGACACGCCAAUCCCGAGCAAGCGGACGAUGCCAGUGCGCUCGCGGAGAGCUUGCAGGACGUCGCCCUCGUACCAGAGGCGACGGUGCAGUCAGUCCUCGACGUGACUUCAUCGCCGCUCGACGACCAAAAGGUACCGACCGAUUCCCAUCCUACGUCUUUUGGAUUCAGCCUCAACCCGCCUAGCAAUCUUGCUUUGGCGGGCGCCCUCGUAGAGGCGAGUUCAAACCCUCUGGGGUUUCGCAUGCGGUCGCCUUGGGACCGGCUGACGGACGUCUCGACCUACGGGCCCUCUGGGUCCGAGGAAGAUGACGACCCCAACAUCUGUUGGGAUUUCUCUGGACUUGGCAACCCCAGUGCCAUGCGGGACUUCAUGACUGCAUGUGACUACUGCCUCUCCGACUGUUCCGACGGUAGCCGCAGCCUCGACGACGAGGACUGUGGCCCAAGCCGCGAAUGUUUCCACGUCGAUCUAGGGGAUCCCUCCGAAGGCAAUCAUCUCGGCAUGCCGGAGGACGGUGAUCACCCUAGGCCGGUGCCUCACGCUGACAUCCCACGGGAGCUAGCUGUGGUCCCCGUUCCGGCGGGGGGUCACGACCCACAGCUCGAGCAAGCCCGAGGGUGCAGGCCAGGCUCGACGAGGGAGCAAGAGCGCUUGGGCCGAUCCGCCGGGACGUCGGGCAGGCAUGGGCGGGCCAACCCCCGGCCGGAGAAAUACGUCACCUGCCCCAGGGUCUCCAGCACCGCGUCGCCGAUGACGUCAGGGUCAGGCCGCCGCCCGCAUCCAGUGGGGUCGGUCAGAACCUGGCUGCAGCAGCGAUGCUUCUCCGCGCGAUGCCGGAGCCAUCAACCACCGAGGGUCGGCGAAUCCAGGGGGAGCUCAAAAAUCUCCUGGAAGGCGCUGCGGUCCGACGGGCCGAGAGCUCUGCCUCCCGAAGGCAGGGAUACCCCUCGGAACCUCAUGCCGCGACUUCCCGAUUCAUGCGGGAAGCCUCGGUCUACACCGGGCGCACGCGCAACACCGCGCCUGCGGCCCCGGGCCACCUCAGCAACGAUCACCAUCAUCGCGACUAUCGGGCCCACCUCGACGAGAGGGUGCGCCGAGGCUAUCACCCCAGGCGUGGGGGACGCUACGACAGCGGGGAGGAUCGGAGUCCCUCGCCCGAACCACCCGGUCCGCAGGCCUUCAGCCGGGCCAUCCGACGGGCACCGUUCCCGACCCGGUUCCGACCCCCGACUACUAUCACAAAGUACUCGGGGGAAACGAGACCAGAACUGUGGCUCGCGGACUACCGCCUGGCCUGCCAACUGGGUGGAACGGACGACGACAACCUCAUCAUCUGCAACCUCCCCCUGUUCCUCUCCGACACCGCUCGCGCCUGGUUGGAGCACCUGCCUCCGGGGCAGAUCUCCAACUGGGAUGACCUGGUCCAAGCCUUCGCCGGCAAUUUCUAGGGCACGUACGUGCGCCCCGGGAAUUCCUGGGACCUCCGAAGCUGCCGACAGCAGCCGGGAGAGUCUCUCCGGGACUACAUCCGGCGAUUCUCGAAGCAGCGCACCGAGCUGCCCAACAUCACCGACUCGGAUGUCAUCGGCGCGUUCCUUGCCAGCACCACCUGCCGCGACCUGGUGAGUAAGUUAGGUCGCAAGACCCCCACCAGGGCGAGCGAGCUGAUGGACAUCGCCACCAAGUUCGCCUCUGGCCAGGAGGCGGUCGAGGCUAUCUUCCGAAAGGACAAGCAGCCCCAGGGCCGCCUGUCGGAAGAUGCUCCCGAGGCGUCUACUCCGCGCGGCGCCAAGAAGAAAGGCAAGAAGAAGUCGCAAGCGAAACGCGACGCCGCCGACGCGGACCUUGUCGCCGCCGCCGAGUACAAGAACCCUCGGAAGCCCCCCGGAGGUGCCAACCUCUUCGACAAGAUGCUCAAGGAGCCGUGCCCCUAUCAUCAGGGGCCCGUCAAGCACACCCUUGAGGAGUGCGUCAUGCUUCGGCGCCACUUCCACAGGGCCAGGCCACCCGCGGAGGGUGGCAGGGCCCACGACGACGACAAGAAGGAAGAUCACCAAGCAGGAGAGUUCCCCGAGGUCCGCGACUGCUUCAUGAUCUACGGUGGGCAUGCGGCGAAUGCCUCGGCUUGGCAUCGCAAGCAAGAGCGCCGGGAGGUCUGCUCGGCGAAGGUGGCGGCGCCAGUCUACCAAGACUGGUCCGACAAGCCCAUCACCUUCAACCAAGCUGACCACCCCGACCACGUGCCGAGCCCGGGGAAAUACCCGCUCGUCGUCGACCCCGUCGUCGGCGACGUCAGGCUCACCAAGGUCCUUAUGGACAGGGGCAGCAGCCUCAACAUCAUCUACACCGAGACCCUCAGGCUCCUGCGCGUCGAUCUGUCCUUCGUCCGAGCAGGCGCUGCGACCUUCCACGGGAUCAUUCCCGGGAAACGCGUCCAGCCCCUCGGACGACUCGACCUUCCCGUCUGCUUCGGAACGCCCUCCAACUUCCGAAGGGAGACUCUGACGUUCGAGGUGGUCGGGUUCCGAGGAACCUACCACGCGGUACUGGGGAGGCCAUGCUACGCGAAGUGUAUGGCCGUCCCCAACUACACCUACCUGAAGCUCAAGAUGCCGGGCCCCAACGGGGUCAUCACCGUCGGCCCCACGUACAAACACGCGUUCGAAUGCGACGUGGAGUGCGUGGAGUACGCCGAGGCCCUCGCCGAGUCCGAGGCCCUCAUCGCCGACCUGGGAAGCCUCUCCAAAGAGGUGCCAGACGUGAAGCGUCAUGCCGGCAACUUCGAGCCAGUGGAGACGGUUAAGGCCGUCCCCCUCGACCCCAGUGGCGACGCCUCCAAGCAGAUCCGGAUCGGUUCCGGGCUCGACCCCAAAUAGGAAGCAGUGCUCGUCGACUUUCUCCGCGCGAACGCCGACGUCUUCGCGUGGAGUCCCUCGGACAUGCCCGGCAUACCGAGGGAUGUCGCCGAACACUCGCUGGAUAUUCGGGCCGGAGCCCGACCCGUCAAGCAGCCUCUGCGGCGAUUCGACGAGGAGAAGCGCAGAGCGAUAGGCGAGGAGAUCCACAAGCUGACGGCAGCCGGGUUCAUCAAAGAGGUAUUCCAUCCCGAAUGGCUUGCCAACCCUGUGCUUGUGAGAAAGAAAGGGGGGAAAUGGCGGAUGUGUGUAGACUACACUGGUCUCAACAAAGCAUGUCCGAAGGUUCCCUACCCUUUGCCUCGCAUCGAUCAAAUCGUGGAUUCCACUGCUGGGUGCGAAACCCUGUCUUUCCUUGACGCCUACUCAGGGUAUCACCAAAUCAGGAUGAAAGAGUCCGACCAGCUCGCGACUUCUUUCAUCACGCCCUUCGGCAUGUACUACUAUGUCACCAUGCCGUUCGGUUUGAGGAAUGCGGGCGCGACAUAUCAGCGGUGCAUGAACCAUGUGUUCGGCGAACACAUCGGUCGCACGGUCGAGGCCUACGUCGAUGACAUCAUAGUCAAGACGAGGAAAGCUUCCGACCUCCUCACCGACCUUGAAGUGACAUUCCGAUGUCUCAAAGCGAAAGGCGUCAAGCUCAAUCCCGAGAAGUGUGUCUUCAGGGUGCCCCGGGGCAUGCUCUUGGGGUUCAUCGUCUCCGAGCGGGGCAUCGAAGCCAACCCGGAGAAGAUCGCAGCCAUCACCAGCAUGGGGCCCAUCAAGGACUUAAAAGGCGUACAGAGGGUCAUGGGAUGUCUUGCGGCCCUGAGCCGCUUCAUCUCACGCCUCGGCGAAAGAGGCCUGCCUCUGUACCGCCUCUUAAGGAAGGCCGAGUGUUUCGCUUGGACCCUUGAGGCCGAGGAAGCUCUCGGGAACCUGAAGGCGCUCCUCACAAAGGCGCCUAUCUUGGUGCCUCCAACUGACGGAGAAGCCCUCUUGGUCUACGUCGCCGCGACUACUCAGGUGGUUAGCGCCGCGAUUGUGGUCGAGAGGCAAGAAGAGGGGCAUGCAUUGGCCGUUCAGAGGCCAGUUUACUUCGUCAGCGAAGUACUGUCCGAAACCAAGAUCCGCUACCCACAAGUUCAGAAGCUGCUGUAUGCAGUGAUCCUGACGAGGCGGAAGCUGCGACACUACUUCGAGUCUCAUCCGGUAACUGUGGUGUCAUCCUUCCCCCUGGGGGAGAUCAUCCCGUGCCGAGAGGCCUCGGGCAGGAUUGCAAAGUGGGCGGUGGAAAUCAUGGGCGAGACAAUCUCGUUCGCCCCUCGGAAGGCCAUCAAGUCCCAGGUCUUGGCGGACUUCGUAGCCGAAUGGGUCGACACCCAGCUACCGACGGCUCCGAUCCAACCGGAGCUCUAGACCAUGUUUUUCGACGGGUCGCUGAUGAAGACGGGAGCCGGCGCGGGCCUACUCUUCAUCUCGCCCCUCGGGACACACCUCCAUUUCCCGGCGUCCAACAAUGUGGCUGAGUACGAGGCUCUGGUCAACGGAUUGCGGAUCGCCAUCGAGCUAGGGGUCCGACGCCUCGACGCUCGCGGUGACUCGCAGCUCGUCAUCGACCAAGUCAUGAAGAACUCCCACUGGCGUGACCCGAAGAUGGAGGCCUACUGCGAUGAGGUUCGGCGCCUGGAAGACAAGUUCUACGGGCUCGAGCUUAACCACAUCGCUCGGCGCUACAACGAGACUACGGACGAGCUGGCAAAAAUCGCCUCGGGGCGAACAACGGUUCCCCCGGACAUCUUCUCCCGGGAUCUGCAUCAACCCUCCGUCAAGAUCGACGACUCGCCCGAGUCUGAGGCGCCCUCGGUCCAGCCCGAGGCACCCUCAGCUCGGCCCGAGGCGCCCUCGGUUCAGCCCGAGGUACCCUCGGCCUCCGAGGGCGAGGCAUUGCGCAUCGAGGAGGAGCGGAGCGGGGCCACGCCUGAUCAAAAUUGGCAGACCCCGUACCAGCAAUAUCUCUGCCAAGGAGAGCUACCCCUCGACCGAGCCGAGGCUCGGCGGGUAGCGCGACGCGCCAAGUCGUUCGUCUUGGUGGGCGAUGAGAAGGAGCUCUACCACCGCAGCCCCUCGGGCAUCCUCCAGCGAUGCAUCUCCAUCGCCGAAGGUCAGGAACUCCUGCAAGAGAUACACUCGGGGGCUUGCGGCCAUCACGCAGCGCCUCGAGCCCCUGUCGGGAAUGCAUUCCGGCAAGGCUUCUACUGGCCAACGGCGGUGGCUGACGCCAUUAGAAUUGUCCGCACCUGCGAAGGGUGUCAAUUCUAUGCGAAGCAGACCCACCUGCCCGCUCAGGCUCUGCAGACGAUACCCAUCACUUAGCCCUUUGCUGUAUGGGGUCUGGACCUCGUCGGCCCCUUGCAGAAGGCGCCCGGGGGCUACACGCACCUGCUGGUCGCCAUCGACAAAUUCUCCAAGUGGGUCGAGGUCUGACCUCUGAACAGCAUCAAGUCCGAGCAGGCGGUGACGUUCUUCACCAACAUCAUCCAUCGCUUCGAGGUCCCGAACUCCAUCAUCACCGACAACGGUACCCAGUUCACCGGCAGAAGAUUCUUGGACUUCUGCGAGGAUCACCACAUCCGGGUGGACUGGGCCGCCGUGGCUCAUCCCAUGUCGAAUGGGCAAGUAGAGCGUGCCAACGGCAUGAUUCUACAAGGGCUCAAGCCUCGGAUUUACAACGACCUCAACAAGUUCGGCAAGCGAUGGAUGAAGGAACUUCCCUCGGUGGUCUGGAGCCUGAGGACAACGCCGAGCCGAGCCACGGGUUUCACGCCGUUCUUCCUGGUCUACGGGGCCGAGGCCGUCUUGCCCACUGACCUGGAAUACGGCUCCCCGAGGACGAGGGCCUACAGCGAUCAAAGCAACCAAGCUAGCCGAGAAGACUCGCUGGACCAGCUGGAAGAGGCUCGGGACAAGGCCUUACUACACUCGGCGCGGUACCAGCAGUCCCUGCGACGCUACCACGCCCGAGGGGUCCGGCCCCGAGACCUCCAGGUGGGCGACCUGGUGCUUCGGCUGCGGCAAGACGCCCGAGGGAGGCACAAGCUCACGCCCCCCUGGGAGGGGCCAUUCGUCAUCGCCAAAGUUCUGAAGCCCGGAACGUACAAGCUGGCCAACAGUCAAGGCGAGGUCUACGGCAACGCUUGGAACAUCCAACAGCUACGUCGCUUCUACCCUUAAGAUGUUUUUCAAGUUGUUCAUAUACCUCGCACCCACACAAAGUUUAGUCAUCAAGGAAGGGUCGGCCUCGCCUCGGCAAAGCCCGACCCUCCCUCGGGAGCUAAAAGGGGGGAACCCCCUCUGCGUUUGAAAUUUUCCUCGAAAAAAGAUCUCUUCUGCCAGAAUAUCUUUCGUGCUUUCUGACUACGUCGAAAAGUGGAUCCUGAAAACGACGGAGUACACGUAAGCAGCCAAGGCUGACCGAGCCGAGGGACUCCUACGCCUCCGGGAUACGGAUACCUCACUCAUCACCUUCUGCGAUAAGUAACUCGCGUUCGGAUAAAGUGAUUCCGCGGACCGAACAAGUCUUCACGUUCGGAAGCUCUUCUGCCGAAGCGAUCCUUCGAGCCUUCUCGACUGAGUCGGUGACAGGGCCUCAUGGACGGGUGAACGUGCGCGUAAGCGGCAAGGCCGACCGAGCCGAGGGACUCCCACGCCUCCGGGAUACGGAUACCUCACUCAUCACCUUCCGCGAGAAGCAACUCUCGCUCGCACAAACAUCCCUGUUACCGACAAAAAAGUCCAGAUACUUGAAACAAGAGGAAAGGAGACGCAGCUUUACAACACAGCAAGGGUGUGUAUUCUGGCCUCGGCGGCCGCAGAAGGCACACGCUACAAGACACUCUGAUCCUGCAGGCUCGGGUCUUGACGCUGGAAAGCGGCAGCAGCACCCUCGGCAUCGACGACACCUUCAGCAAGGUCCGACCUAGCCUCGGACGGUGACGCGGUCCAAGGAUCCCCACUCUGGAGGACGACAUCAUCAUCACGCCCGGACAAUCGCUGUCAGGGACUUCUCCAGGAAUUCGGCCCGAGCAGGCGGCUCGGCCGGUUACCCCUGGGGCCUCGGCCAACCAUCUUCCAAGGGCGCCAGCCCGACCCGAGGCCUCGGCUGAUCAACUCCGGCGUCGGUCCCGCUAACGGACAACCCGGCUAGGCUCCGGCCAACCAGGUUUCAUUUUCGAGCCAACUCCGCCUCUGUUCAUGCUGAUAUCGCUACCCCUGGCCUCGGCUCAUCGAAGAGCGGCCAAGGGGUCCCUUUAACUAAGCUAGAGGAGCCUCAGACAACAAGGCCGACCGAGCCGAGGGACUCCUACGCCUCCGGGAUACGGAUACCUCACUCGUCACCUUGACACGGGGCGACUCAUGCUUGGUGAAGUGGUUCAGAUAAUCAACAGGCGAGUCUUAGUGCUCGAAAAUGAGGAAAAAACACGGCUCCGUGCCAAAAUUACAUACAUGUUCAGGCCCCGAAAGCCGUAAUGAACAAAACACUGGCAUUCAAAGUGCCAUUACAAACGGAACUCCGGUUCCCCCUCCGCAGGUACGAACAACCCCACUCGAUAGGGGUGGGCCUGCGGAGCAACAGAAGACCGACGAACGGCGCGCCGUCACCCGCUCCAGCGGCGGUGACGACGACGACUUCUGCUCCGGGGGGCCGAACAGCGGCAGCACUGACCUCAGGGCGGAUGCUGCUGCCAGGAGGCCCCCGCCCAUACCCAAACUUGUGAGGCAAGGACGGGCAGAAGGCCGUAGAGUUGGAGGUCGGUCUGUGGCUGGCCUUGGCUAUCGCGCCGGCGGAAGAACCUCUUCCAGCUGCCGUGGCAGACGCCGGCGCCGCGAGCGGCUCCGAAGCCACUCGCGUCCGAGAGCCAGGCACGGUGCAGCUGCCGGCGCCACGGACGACGACCGCCCUUCCCUCCGAUCACUGAGUGAAGGAGCGGGCCGCCGCCCACGCAGGGGCCGACCCCAACUCGGCACACUCCCCUCCCCAGCCCUGGUGAUGAAAAUCCUUGAGGCUGAGGGAGGGGCAGAGGCCGCAGCCCGGCUCGCUUUCCCCCACCAUCAAGCUGGAGGUCACCAUCUUGGGUGACCACCGGUGGAGGGGUGCAGCCGGGCUGCAUGAUGAAAAUCCUUGGAGCCGAACGAUGGCUGAAAGGUACCAACUCCCACGGAGUUGCGUUCCUCCAAUGAUGAGGCGAAAAGACGGCGGGUAUCCCCCAUCCGGGGGCUUGGAAGGUGAAAAGACGCGAUGCAUAAGGGAGCAAGAAGACAUGGUCGCCUUCCGAAAGGGGUCGCCCUCCUUUUAAAGGCCACUCUCCCUACUUGCGCCUCCAACCGUCACGGGCUGAGUCUUCUCCAACACGCUCCAAGGCCCUCCCCUGCGGCGCGGGGGCUGGGUCCCGCAUGUCAUGCAAACCGGCUCAAAGCAGAAGAAGCCAAACCGCCGCGCGUGGUGCACACGACCGCCCAGCGGUUACAAGUGACCCACCACUUUUGCCCAGACCAAUGGGCGAAAGAGGCGGGCAGCCAAGCAGGCGGCAUGCGACCGCGCCAAGUGGACACGCUUCUCCGACCCCCGACACGCCAGCAUGGAGGCCCAGCCCCACGCGUCACGCAACCGGCGCGCCGGAUGCUGCAUGCAAGCAACUGCACCGCCACUUGCGCCACCAUCGCGCCUCCUCGAUUGCGGAACCAAUACCGCGACUCGAGGCAACCCAGCGCACGACCCAGCAGCGCCAGCCUGACGCGGCGGUCAAUGCGGCCAAAAGUGGGCUGGCAGUAAUGACGGUGGCAUGCGGGCAGGAGCAGCGGUCACGUCGUCAGCCAAGCUCACGUCCCAUCCAGGGGCAGCAAGAGAACCCCCUCUCACGGCGUGAAGACAACGCGCCCGUGAUCCGUUCCUCGAACGGCUCGCGCACGCGCAACGGCCGCCCCGCCAACCACUCGCCCCGUCGCAUUAACUCCGCGGCGGGACAGGCGGCACUUCUGGCAGGAAAAGCGGGCGACGCUUCGCCUUCGCCGAAAUAACCACGCCAAAAAAGGUACGCCGCGUCGUUCGAUUUCGUAUCCUUUUCCUUUUUUCCUCUUUCUCUAUCUCUUGCAACAGGGACCGGGAAAGGGAGAUACCCCGAAAAGGAUCCUUCCCCGUGAAGGAACCAGGCUCCGAGCCUCCUUACUGAUCAGAGGUUCGAAGGCUGGCCCCCCGAAGGGUUCAACAGCCGCCUGAGAUCGCGUGGGCCCUACACCCACUACUGGUCAGAGGUUCGAAGGCCGGCCCCCCGAAGGGUUCCACGGCCGCCUCAGGCUACCCGGGCUCCACGCCCAUUACUGAUCAGGGGUUCGAAGGCUGGCCCCCGAAGGGUUCACAGCCGCCUCAGACGCCGAGCGAGGGAUGACCAGGGGUACGUUCGAUACAUAACCAAGGCUCGGGCUGCGCUCCCGAGGUACCCUAGGAGCCCGAGGUACCCUAGGACAUUUCCGAGACCAGCGUGAGCGAUCUUGUAACGGAAUCCCAUCAGAGGGAGGCAUCGAGCUCUCGGACCCCGUCGCCAGGGGACCGGGUCCGGCAGAUCACCCGCAGGUACUUUUGGGCGUGCCUCUGGGCCCCUAGCCGACCCCUAACGAACGGGGCACGGACGUCCACUCGGAUUACCCGCUUGCAGCUCACCGGAGACACCAUGUUCGGCGCCCAUCGAGGGUAACAUGGCGCUUUCCCCCCCUCCUCCUUGCGGAAAGGCGACGCAGGGGCGUAUGUAAAAAGCCGAGUCUGUCCCUGAUCGCCCUCUCGCCCUGUGCAGAGGCUCGAGGGCUGCUCUCGCAAACCCGGCUCCGGCCGAACCGUUGACAGCGUCAACAUACCAGCCCGAGAACUUGGGCCCCAACCGUACACCCGGGCUACGACCAGUUCGCAUGAGGGAACAACCAGACCAGCCGAAGCAUUACGCAAGGCAUUAAGACCUCGAAGGAGUGAAACCACUCCUCCGAGGCCUCGGGGGCUACACCCGGCGGGUGCGCUCGCGCGCACCCACCGGAACAAAAUGCAACCGAGAAAGGCUGGUCCCCUUGCAAAAAAGUGCGACGAAAGCCUCCAAGCGAGUGCUAACACUCCCUUCGAGGCUCGGGGGCUACUGUCGGGGACCAUAAUUAGGGGUACCCUCAAGACUCCUAAUUCUCAGCUGGUAACCCCCAUCAGCAUAAAGCUGCAAAGGCCUGAUGGGUGCGAUUAAGUCAGGGAUCAGUCCAUUCGAGCGACUCGAUCACGCCUCGCCCGAGCCUAGCCUCGGACAAGGGCAGCCGACCUCGGUGGAUUUCCGUCUCGCCCGAGGCCCCCCUCCGACGGCGGACACAUCUCCGGCUCGCCCGAGGCCCUGCCUUCGCUAAGAAGCAACCCUGACUAAAUCGCCGCACCAACCGACCGAAUCGCAGGAGCAUUUAAUGCAAAGGUGGCCUGACACCUUUAUCCUGACGCACGCCCCCCGGCAGAGCCGAAGUGACCGCCGUCACUUCACCGCUCCACUGACCGGCCUGACAGAAGGACAGCGCCGCCUGCGCCACUCCGACUGCAGUGCCAUUUGACAGAGUGAGACUGACAGGCAGUCAGGCCCUGCCAAAGGCACCAUAGGAAUCUCCGCUCCGCCCGACCCAGGGCUCGGACUCGGGCUAAGUCCCGGAAGACGGCGAACUCCGCUCCGCCCGACCCAGGGCUCGGACUCGGGCUAGGUCCCGGAAGACGGCGAACUCCGCUCCGCCCGACCCAGGGCUCGGACUCGGGCUAAGUCCCGGAAGACGGCGAACUCCGCUCCGCCCGACCUAGGGCUCGGACUCGGGCUAGGUCCCGGAAGACGGCGAACUCCGCUCCGCCCGACCCAGGGCUCGGACUCGGGCUAAGUCCCGGAAGACUGCGAACUCCGCUCCGCCCGACCCAGGGCUCGGACUCGGGCUCGGCCCCAGAAGACGACGAACUCCGCUCCGCCCGACCCCAGGGCUCGGACUCGGGCUCAGCCCCAGAAGACGACGAACUCCGCUACGCCCGACCCCGGGGCUCUGACUCGGGCUCAGCCCCAGAAGACGACGAACUCCGCUCCGCCCGACCCCAGGGCUCGGACUCGGGCUCAGCCCCAGAAGACGACGAACUCCGCUUCGCCCGACCCCUGGGCUCGGACUCCGCCCCGGCCUCUGCCGAACGACCUCCGCCUCGCCCGACCCAGGGGCUCGGACUCGGCCUCGGCCAUGGAAGACAGACUCGACCUCGGCUUCGGAGGAGCCUCCACGUCGCCCAACCUAGGGCGCAGGCCAGCCACGUCAACAGGAAGCGCCAUCAUCACCCUACCCCGAGCUGACUCGGGCCGCAGAGAACAAGACCGGUGUCCCAUCUGGCUAGCUCCGCCAGAUAGGCAAUGAUGGCGCCCCGCAUGCUCUGUGACGACGGCGGCUCUCAGCUCUCUUACGAAAGCAGGAGGACGUCAGCAAGGACUCAACCGCUCCGACAGCUGUCCCUCCGCCAGGCUCCGUCGCUCCUCCGACGGCCACGACAUCACACCAGCUGGGUGCCAAAAUCUCUCCGGCUGCCACAUUGGCAUGUACUUAGGGCACUAGCUCUCCCCCGCUAGACACGUAGCACUCUGCUACACCCCCAUUGUACACCUAGAUCCUCUCCUUACGCCUAUAAAAGGAAGGACCAGGGCCCUCUUAGAGAGGGUUGGCCGCGCGGGGACGAGGACGGGACAGGCGCUCUCUUGGGGCCGCUCGCUUCCCUCUCCCACGUGGACGCUUGUAACCCCCUACUGCAAGCGCACCCGACCUUGGCGCGGGACGAACACGAAGGCCGCGGGAUUCUCACCUCUCUCACGCCGGUCUCCGGCCACCUCGCUCCUUCCCCCCUUCGCGCUCGCCCACGCGCUCGACCCAUCUGGGCUGGGGCACGCGGCACUCACUCGUCGGCCCGAGGGACCCCCCGGUCUCGAAACGCCGACAGGUUUGGGCUAAUAAUCAUGUUCUUGCUGCUAGCGGGGCACCACUAUGUGGUAGAACCACCCGAAUUAUUACAGCUUAAGUGCCUAAGUCACGCCUCAGGGGCCGUAACACACUUAAAUCGGAAUAACCCGUCAGUCCCUCAGAUCUAUUCUGAUAGAGCCACUUAACCAAGAUCAAAUUCCACAAUCUCACUCAAAGGUGAGUCACAGAAGAAAUACAAUAAAACAGGAAACCUCAAAUUAAGUGCUGAAUUAUUACAUAGAUCGGAGUUUUUGAGUACCAAAUAAGAGUUCACGAAAAUAAAAUGCAGCGGAUAAUCGAUGUCGUCGGUAUUGAGGAAAUGGGCAAGGCCUAGCCCACUACUCCUCAUGCUCCUCUCCUGCCGGAGCAACAUCCCACUCGACCGUCCAACCCGGUGGCAGGGUGGUAGGCCAAGUCACACCAUCAACCAUAUCCUGAAGUGCACCUGCAAAAAUUAUGCCACAAGCAAGGCUGAGUAUACUAAUACUCAGCUAGACUUACCCGGUGUGAGGAAACUACUCUUCUACCUCUAAACUAUGCAGCUGUUUGGAUGAGGGGUUUGGUUUGCCAAAAGCACUAGCUGUUUCUAAAAUCAAUUUUUAGCUUUUCAAGUUCUAGCAUCAUCAUCUUAGCUAGGUUUGCUCCUUCUAAGCAUACAUGGUGACAAGCAUUUAGUUUAAUCAACAAAUUGUCUCAUGUAAUCUCAUUUCACUUCUUACUCGAUGCAGUACAAGGGGUCAAGCAGUCUCAUUAGCUACGAGAAGCAGAUGAUUCGAAUCGAGUUUUAUCCUUGCAAGGUAAACCUAAACACAUGACAUGUCAGGGUACUUCGACCCCACACAUGUCAACCGUCCCUAUCGAUUCCCCGUUCGCGUCCAGGCCUCACCGCCUUGGCAUACAAUGCUCCAUUGACCCCGGCUGCCGCCGUGCAGUGACCGCACUUGUACCCACCAUAGCUAGCAUGGGAGACCCAGUCUCAGGUCGCAUGAGGGAUAAAGUCCGCACCCUGCUUCACUCAGGUACUAGGUUUAUCGGUUACCAUUUUCUCGACAUGUGCUUAGUACGUUCAAACGCUUGACUCAGGUAUCCACACAUUAAUCCUUAAUUCCUUUUUCCCGUCUCAUGGUCAAGGCAUCCUCCCUGGAUCCAAGUCCAUAGACUAACAUAGAUCCUGUUAUCAAGAUGAAUACAAUCAAUUCCUGACCUCGCGCGAGUGCUAGAAAAAUCACUCGACUUCUACCGUGAUCCUGAUUAGCAAGCAGCUACUCGACCUAGCAUACUAGUAUUCAUCUCAAAAAGGAUUCCUAAGUUCAUGCAACUAGAGGUUUCAAGCAACUCCUACACUUAAGUGCACAUUACAAUCCUACAAGCAUUAAGUGUAGUAAAGUAGCAUAUAAUAAUAUGGUUAUGCAUAUAAACCGGGGCUUGCCUUCAAUAGCUGGGGCUACAGGGAGAUCCUCGAUAGCAGCCUCGGAAGCUUGCUCCUGGUCCUCUUCUUGGACAGUUCCUUGCUCGGGGAUGAGCACGUACUCUCCGUCGGCGAGAUUACAAUCUAAUGAAUGCAAUGCGUAAGAUAUAUGCAUGAUAUGAUAUGUGCUUUAGUAAUUUAAACUUUUGAUGGUGUAUGAUCUACUUGAGUUAGAUAGAGCUAAGUCUUGCUUAUACGAGACUUUUGGGUGGUAUACUAGGUAAAUUGGAUCAAUCUUAGCUAAGUUAAGUGGUAGGUUUAUUUUUGGGGUUCCACUGAAUUCUUUUUAAAGUCUUAGUGAGAAUUGACAAGAAUUCAAGUUGGACUUAUUGGAGUGAGGUUUAUUUCUUCUUUCUUUUUCUUUAUUCCCCUUAAGUUUUUGGAGUGGGUUUGAACUACAAGUUGCCCUAAUAAAUUUCCAAAAAUUCUGUAAAAAUUAUAGUGGCUUAUUACUAGUGUAUAGUUCUCUGUCUCAAAAUUUGGGGUUCAAAAAGUGAAUAGUUUUCUCUCGACAAAAUUACCAAAUUUUAGGGCAGAGGGGGUGAUUUGAACUACAACUACCAUAUAAUAGUAGGUAAUUCUCUAAAACUUAUUUUUUCUGGCAUUUAGGUGCUAUAACAUGACUUGGCACAAAAUUCGAGCCAUUAAUACUUAUUAGUUAUUUUACUAGGAUUUUCUAAAGUUUCUAGCCAAAGGGGUGCUUUCUACUACCACUAUAUUUGAAAAAUAUCAAACAACAGAUCUCUGAUUUUUUCUAGCUUCUAUUUUGCGCAAGAGCAAUCAUUCUGAAGUUUGGCAUCUUUUUGCUUAAGGGAAGAGGUGGUAUGCAUUAAUUGGAUUAAAUGGCCUUUCUUAUAAAAUAUUGGCAAUAGGUAUUAUUUUGCAUCCUUCUAAUAGGUUUGCAUUUUUCUCUGGUGGCCUUUCUCAUCAUUGACCUAGCAAAAUUUUAUUUGCCCAUUAUUGCAUUAUUAUGGGUUAUUCAUGAUUUAUUUGGAAUAUGACUCAUUAUCAUAUUAUAUUUAUUUACCCUAUUUAAAAUGAUGGGCUGGGGUGUUUAUUAUUUUUAGAGUGGGGUUUUGGUAGUUACAAGUCCACUGGAUUUCUAGUUACCCUAUUUAAAACAUUUCACUUUAAAACUGAUCUGGACUAGAGAUCCCAUUAUUAUUCCUAGGUUCUCUGUUACUUAAGCAAACUAGGAAAAAUAAUUUCACUCAUUGUUCAUUAAUUUCUAAUGCCUUUCUGAUUUUCUUAAGUUUUGGGCAGAAAUGGCUUUUAAUGGAUAUCUACACUCAAUUUUUCAAUACUGGGGUUCUUACUAUUUUUAAACAGUGCUUAAAUGGGGUUUGAACAUCUACAAAUUUUCUCAGGUUCAGCAUAGAAACAAAACUAAUUUUCCUUAAUUAACUAAGGUUUGGUUAGUUUCUGUUUUAAUUUUAAACUUUAAAAAUUAGAACAGAAAGCAUAGGGUUCAUUAUUUUUAAAUGAUAGUUCAUAUUAUUUAGGAUCUAGCAAAAUUAGGUUGACAACUUUUGGUUAAAAAUUCAUCAAGUUAUGAAUUUUCUAAGUUCUCUGUUUAUUAAAAAGAUUAAACAGAAAUGAUUAAAUGGAAAACUACUUUGCAACGGGGUCCCUGGCGGGUGUUUUAAGUUUUCCUUACAGACUAGUCCCUGGGCUACUAUACAAAUGAGUCACUGACAUCUCAGAAAACCCCCUGGAUUCUUCUAAUCCUAACCCGAGGUCCUUUCCCCAAUUUAAACAGUACCCGCGGCGGAAGAAAGGGCGGAGGGGCUUACCGGUGGCGAGAUUGCUCUGGUGAGGUGGCCGAGGGUGUAGGGGAGGUCCUGAGGGUCACGACGAUGUGCGGGUCGCCGUCGGGGAUGGUCGGAGUCGGCCGGUCCGCGUGCGCAGGUGGGGGAGCUCGUCGGCUGCGAGGAGUCCGGCCUAUCCAGGGCGAAAUUGACCAAUCAAACAGGUCAGAGAGCUUCACCAGGGAUCAAGGAAGGGGUGUGCGCGAGGAAUUGAAGAAUGGCUCACCGGAGUGCCCAGUCUACGCGUGCAGGCGGGCGGCCGAAGUCUGGUGAGGUCGAUCUUUGCCUUUCGGUGAAGUUCUGCCAGGUCCGAGGGCUUGGAAAGCUUCACGGGCCUAUGGCGGAGCUAACCGAAGCGCUGGCGCGACUUGGGGGUGACUGGAGUGGGCUGGCCAUGGUGGCCGAAGCUCUGGCGGCAAUGGCGGGUGGAAAGGAGCUCGCCAGAGCUAAGGAGGGGUGUCUGGUUGGCGGUGGUGAGCGCGGGGUGAAGUGAGGCGCGCCCGGGGAGGUUUUAUAGGCGCGGGCGAGCACGACCGAGGGCGGGGCUCUGACAAGUGCUCGAGGCGUGCGCGGCGAACGCCAGUGCGCGCUCUGGCGUCUAGCACAGCGUCGAGCACGAGGCAGCGUAGGGAGAGGUCGAGUUCCAGCGCGGAUUGGCCCCAAAUCUUUGAGAUUAUGGCCAUGAUCCCGUUGAGAGAUCUCUUCCUCUCAGGUUCCUUUGUCGUUUGUGUGUGGAGGCUAGCAGGUUUUGCUGAAUGGAUUAAGAGAUACAGAGGGGAGAAAUCAUGCUUGUCUCACUGCCGCACACAGGGAGAAGAUCUCUGGUUUGACGUGUCCAAGGCACGCGUCCCAAUGCCAUCUUCUGGCACGAGACCGAGAGGUUAGUUAUGCACGUUUUUGUCAAUGGGGCCAAUAGGAUUUGAGUUAGGGAUCAUGGUGAACACACUUGAUCUUUGGCUCAAGGUCUGAAAUUCAGAAUUCUGAUUUUCAGAAUUCCCUAAUGAAAUCCCACUUGAGAGGCUUGUUUAGAGUUUUAUUUAAAUUGUUUUGGCCAAGCUUCCAAAAUCUUUGUUAUUGCUUAUUUAGCAUACUUUAAUGUUUAUAAUUGGCCCAAGCCAUUAUUCUAAAUUUUUGAUACUCUUUUCCCCAUUUUCUUGAAUUUUGUUUAUAGGGCUCAAUUAGGGUUUUUGUUGGGGUUGCACAUUUUGCCUUUUUGAAAAACCCAUUUGUUUUGAACAUGAUACUUUUAAGUAUAAGCUUAGUGGGUUCUUUAUUCUUAAAUCAACUUGAUGUUCAUGCUAAAUUUUGAUUCACAUAAGAUGAUGGUUCUUGGGUUAGCACUUGAGAGAAACCCUAGGUGAUAGUGGGGUGUCACAGCCUUCCCCCCUUAAAGGAAUCUCGUCCCGAGAUUCGGGCCAGAGUCCUCCCGGGGUAGAGCGAAGGGUGAGACUUAUAGGAAGUGGGUGCUUAUUGUUAUUAUUAGGGCAAACUGCUCUUCGAAUGUCAUUCUCUUUGCAACUUUAGAAGGAAGUCCUUUUUAAAUUUGUUUCAUGAUUACUUCAUUCUGAUUUAAGAUCAUAUUUCUGAAUUUUAGAUUCGAAGGGCAGGAGGAGGGGUUGGGCGUGAUUACGUACCAGUUUCCUUAGGUAGGCAAUUGGGAAAGUUGGAUCUCAAGAAUUCCUCAGUCUCCCAAGUAGCUUCUUCCUCUAAGUGAUUACUCCACUAGACCUUGUACAUCUUGAUCGAUUUAGCCCGAGUUGAUCUUUCUUUGCAAUCCAGAAUCUUGGAGGGGUACUCUUGGUACGAUAGUUCUGGUUCUAUCUCCAAUUCUGGCUCUGCUAUGAUCUCGGUCGACAAUCGAACACACUUCUUCAGCUGAGAUACAUGGAACACACUGUGUAUGGCAGACAGUUUUGAAGGUAGCUUCAGCUUAUAUGCCACGGGUCCACAUGCUUCGAUGAUCUCAUAAGGUCCAAUGUAACGAGGGGCUAGCUUGCCUUUGAUUCCAAACCUCUGCACUCCCUUGGUGGGUGAUACCUUGAGGUAUUCGAAAUCUCCCACCUUGAAUUGGAGAGGUUUCCUUCUUUUAUCAUGGUAACUCUUCUGCCUGGCCUGAGCAGUUUCUAGAUUCUUCCUGAUUAGUUUGGCCUUCCUUUCGGCUUCAGUCACUAAGUCAGGUCCAAAAACUCCUCUUUCUCCAGGUUGAGACCAAUUGAGUGGUGUCCUACACCUUCUUCCAUAGAGAGCUUCGAAAGGUGCCAUCCUUAGGUUGGAUUGAUAACUGUUGUUAUAAGCAAACUCUGCCAAGGAGAGGUGCUUAUCCCAGUUCUUACCACAAUCGAUUGCACAAGCUCUCAGCAUAUCCUCCAGAAUUUGGUUUACCCUUUCCGUCUGACCAUCAGUUUGUGGGUGGUAAGCUGAACUUCUGAUUAGCUUGGUUCCCAAAGACUCCUGCAGUUGUUCCCAAAAUCUGGCAACAAAUUGGGCUCCUCGGUCAGAAACAAUGGUCCGAGGUAAUCCGUGCAAACACACGAUCCGGUCAAUGUACAACUCUGCAUACUUUUGAGCCUUAUCAGUGGUGUGCACAGGAAGAAAAUGUGCAACUUUUGUCAGUCAGUCCACAAUAACCCAAAUCGAAUCAUGAUGACGAGAGGUGUUGGGCAGACCCACGAUGAAAUCCAUGCUGAUGUCAUCCCAUUUCCACGAAGGUAUAGAUAGGGGUUGCAAAGCUCCAGCUGAUUUCAAGUGGCUUGCCUUUACCCUCUAACAAGUGUCACAUUCUGAUACAUACUGGGCUAUCUCCCUCUUCAUUCUGGUCCACCAAUAUAAAGGCUUCAGAUCAUGGUACAUUUUGGUGCUUCCCGGAUGCAUAGAGAAUUUGGAGAGAUGAGCCUCGUCCAAGAUUUUACUCUUGAGGUCCUUGUUUUUAGGAAUCACCAAUCUGCUUUUGAACCAUAAUACACCCUUUUUAUCUUGGCGGAAACAUUUAUACUUCUCAACCUUCUGAUGGAGAUUCUUCUUGAUAAUCUGCGCUGCCUUGUCACUGAGCUGGGCCAUGAUGAUCUGGUCUUGCAAAGCUGGCUCGACAGAAAUGUGAGACAGAGCACCAGAAGGAAUCACUUCUAUUUGCAUCUUGCUCAACUCAUCACACAAGGUGUUGAUGCGAGAAUCCAUCAGAAUACAAUUGCAUUGCAACUUCCGACUCAAGGCAUCUGCUACCACAUUGGCUUUCCCUGGGUGAUAAUGUACCUCCAGGUCAUAGUCCUUGAUCAGCUCUAGCCAUCUUCUCUGCCUCAUGUUGAGAUCAGCCUGAGUAAAGAUGUACUUAAGGCUCUUAUGAUCAGUGAAGAUGUUGCAGUGGGUUCCCAUUAAAUAGUGCCUCCACAUUUUUAAUGCAUGAACCACUGCUGCCAACUCGAGGUCAUGAGUGGGAUAAUUUUGCUCAUGAGGCCUGAGUGCUCUUGAGGCAUAAGCAAUGACUCGGUUGUCUUGCAUUAAGACACAACCUAGUCCAGUGCCAGAGGCAUCACAAUAUACUUCAAAAGGCUUGUUGUUGUCGGGUUGCGCUAACACUGGUGCUGUGGUCAGAUGCUGCCUUAAUGCAUGGAAGGCAUCUUCGCACUUCUGACUCCAAACAAACUUGGCUUCUUUCUUCAGCAACUCAGUUAUAGGCUUCGCAAUUCGAGAGAACUCCGGAAUAAAUCUUCGGUAAUAACCAACUAAUCCCAGAAAACUCCGAAUCUGACGGACAGUCGUUGGUGGCUUCCAGUUCAUCACCUCUUGCACCUUAUCAGGAUCAACGGCUAUUCCUGCCUGAGAGAUAGUGUGACCCAAGAAUUUGAUUUCCUUUAGCCAAAAAUCACACUUGGACAACUUGGCAUAAAGGUGGUGCUCUCGCAGACGUUGAAGCACUACAUGCAAAUGCCCGACAUGUUCUUCUUCGUUUUUUGAGUACACCAAGAUAUCAUCGAUGAACACCACUACGAAUUUGUCCAAUUCAGGCAUGAAAACAGAAUUCAUCAGAUACAUGAAAUAUGCUGGUGCAUUUGUCAGCCCAAAUGACAUCACCAAGAAUUCAUAUAGCCCGUAUCUGGUUGAGAAUGCCGUCUUCGGAAUAUUGCUUGCUCGUAUCUUGAUCUGAUGGUAGCCGGAGCGAAGGUCUAUCUUGGAAAACACCUUGGCCCCGACCAACUGGUCAAAAAGAACAUCAAUACGAGGCAAAGGAUACUUGUUCUUGAUAGUUACCGCAUUAAGAGGGCGGUAAUCUAUACACAGCCUCAAGCUUUCAUCCUUCUUCUUCACAAACAGUGCUGGACAUCCCCAAGGUGAAGUACUUGGGCGAAUAAAUCCCUUAUCCAGCAACUCCUGCAAUUGCUUCUUCAAUUCUGCCAGCUCAGCGGGUGGCAUUCGGUAGGGCCUCUUGGAAAUUGGUGCCGUUCCCGGUUGCAACUCGAUGGCAAAUUCAAUAUCCCGGUCUGGUGGCAUUCCUGGCAAUUCAUCAGGAAAGACAUCUGCAUACUCUUAGACCACUGGGAUCUUCUUCAGAGGUAACUCCGUCAUAGAGAAAGCACAUGACUGAGUAGAACCUUGACUGGGCAGAAUUAAGGCGAAGUUCUCGCAGAACGGAGAAUUAAUUUCCACGGUACGGCUGGCUACAUUAAGCACAACUUGGUGCAAGGUCAUCCAAUUAGCUCCCAAAAUAAUGUCCACAUUUUCCAAACCCAACACAAGAAGGGUGGUUUUGACGAUGUGGCUUCCCAGUUGAAUAGGCACACUUUGGUUUAAUUGAUUAGUUGAAAUUUUACCCCCAGGUGUGACUAUCAUAAAUGACCCUUUUGAGUGAGAGAAUGGUAGUUCACAUUUAGCACUGAACUUUUGGCUAACGAAACUAUGAGAUGCACUAGAAUCAAAUAGAAUUAAAGCAGGUUGAUUAUAAACUGAAAAGAUACUGGUCAUGAUAGGAGCUCCCUUAGGUACUUCCUCAAGAGUAGUGAAGUUGAGCUUCCCUUGCCUGACUUGUACCUUCUGCUUUCUUCCCUUGUCUUGAUUUGGUGCUGGCAUCUGCCUCUGCUGGUUCCUAGGACAAUUCUUGGCAUAGUGGCCCACAAUGCGACAAGUGAAACACUUGUUCCCAUUGCCCUGGCGAAACUGCUGCUGCUUCGGAGGUUGAUUGUUCCUUGGAGAGGGAGCUGGAAAGCGGCUGGGUGCCGGCUGCUGCUGCUGAGGUGGCUUGAUCACCCAUCUGCCUGCCUGCUGCUGGAAACCCCUGCUCUGAUUGUGAGAAACAAUCUGGAACCUCUGGGCCUGAGCGGAUGGUGCUGCCAUUUGUGCCUUUCUCUUCUUCUCUGCCCGGUGAGCUACAAUGCAAUCUUCCUGAGAGAUGGCCAGGUUGACCAACUCAUUGAAGCUAUCAGCCCGAACAGUGUUGAGUCAUUCCCGCAGCUUGGUGUUAAGACCCCUGCGGAAGCGGUCUCUCUUCUUUUCAUCAGAAUCAACAUGGUACCCUGCAUACUGGCAUAGGUCGUUGAAGGCUUGCGCAUACUGCAGUACCGUGCGGGUUCCUUGAUUAAGCGCCAGAAACUCAUUCAACUUGCGAUCAAGGAUGCCAGCUGGGAUGUGGUGUCCUCUGAAAGCAGUCUUGAAUUCCUCCCAAGACACUUCAGGAUCAGCGGGGAGCAUAACACAGAAGUGGUCCCACCAAGUCUGAGCAGGGCCGCGAAGCUGCUGCGCGGCGAAGCGAGCCUUGGCUUCAUCAGGGCAGUCUCCCAUGAGGAGGGGAAACUUGGACUCAACGACACGGAGCCACACGUCGACGUCCAACGGAUCCUCUGCCUUGGUGAACAAGGGUGGCUGCGUACUCAGGAACUCCUGGUAGGUUGCCGCUGCCGGAGGUCGCUGAUGCUGGCCUCCACCAUGCUGCUGAGGGUGGGGCUGGCGCUGCAAGAGCUGUCACAGAAUCUCGUUCUGCUGGGCCAUCAGCUCCUGCAUUGUGGGAGCUGGAGGAGGUGGUGGGGGAACCUGCUCGUUAUGCCCGCGACGCUGCCUAGCUGCCAUCUGAAAAUAGAGAUUGCCGCCAUUGUUAUCCAACUCACAAUUUCGGACGACAAGAUAUUAUCUCAUAUGGAAGGAAAAAUGCCAUAAUAAUAAUAUUAGGUUCGAAAUGAAGAUAACAUGGUGACAAACAUCCCACAGAUUCCAAAAGUUCACAGGGUUACAUCAAGGGAAAAGGUACCCGUAAGCCUAGUCCAAAAUCUGACAUUAGCUAAGCUCGCAUAGGUUUCUAUCCGGCUAAAAGUGUCGAAGUGACUGAUUAACCCUGAGCGGUGGAAGCGACACUAGAUACGGGUGAAGGAGGCAUCGCGGAGGUAGUCCCAUUGGCACCAGGGGCUGGUCCUAGCUCCUCGGGAGCAUCUUCUCCCUCGCUUCUGGCUUCAUUGGCCUCCAUCUCCAAGUGGUGCAUGUCCAGGUGGUCAUUCGCUUCUUUGAGUUCCCUCUGCUCAUCGUGGAGCUGAUUCUCCAAGACAUCAAUAGUGUUGUCUCGGAUCUCCACCUGCUGCUCCAAGGUGGUAAUGCGCUGGCUCAGCCUUUCCACCUGCAGAUCCUUCUCUACCAACUCGGUGGAUAAAUCGACCACAAAAUCUUCUCGACUAUCGAGAGUGAGCUUGGCGGUUUGAGCGAUGUUAGCAAGGUGUGCCAUAGCGUCGCUCUGAAGGGCCUGAAGGCGGUACAACGCACUCAUGCACUGGACAGUGACCCUCCCAACCAAGUCAGGAUACAUUGCCCACACAUCCUUCACAUGGCUCACGCGGUUACACCACAUGGGGUCAUCCUUCUUCUCAGCAGGGAAGAGUCCCAAGGGGUGCAUCACCAUUUCUAGGGGAUGGUAACCAUAGAAAGUCGUCAGAGUCUUCAUGGCUGCCGCUUCAAUGGUGUCGUCCGUCCUAAGUCCAAUUGUCUCGGAAUCAAGAGAACGCCAACCCGGAUGAAGGGGAUGAGCCUCCAAAGUCAGCCAGACCCAACAACGAGGUACCCGAUGCUCCUCAUACAACUACACCGUGUACAAAGGGGGCGUAGGGUAACCGGCGGAGUUAAGCACUUCCCACAAGAUGGAAGGAAAGCCAUCGCGAGAAAGGAAGUCAGAACUGAAACGAGUGUCUCCUCCACUGGCGGGGGUGGGUGAAUUCAUCUGCGGAAGGGAACCAAAGGUAAAGAUUAUGGUGGAAGGAAAAAAAAGAAAGAGAGCCCGGAUGGUUUUUAAAGGAAGUGGGUUAGCUCAAGUUUUAAUUCCUCUUUGUGUUUAUAAUGCAUGCAUGCUGAAAGUAACUCCUCCUCUCCGAAUAUAAGGUGCUUUAAGGCAUCCUUUAAAAAUCUAAGUACUGGCCCACAGGGCCUACUUAAUUAGCCACCUAUUUCUCCCACUAUCCCUAAGGCCUUUCGUCCUAGGUCUAGCGGUCUAGUCCUGACGAUUCUUAGCAGUUUCUAAGCAAGUUUUUAGAUUUUGAAAAUUGGUAUUCAUGGUUUAUUGUCCUUCGCUGUGGUGGAAUUUGCUCCGAUACCAGCUGUGGCAGAACCACCCGAAUUAUUCCAGCUUAAGUGCCUAAGUCACGCCUCAGGGGCCGUAACACACUUAAAUCGGAAUAACCCGUCAGUCCCUCAGAUCUAGUCUGAUAGAGCCACUUAACCAGGAUCAAAUUCCACAAUCUCACUCGAAGGUGAGUCACAGAAGAAAUACAAUAAAAUAGGAAACCUCAAAUUAAGUGCUGAAUUAUUACAUAGAUCGGAGUUUUUGAGUAGCAAAUAAGAGUUCACGAAAUAAAAUGCAGCGGAUAAUCGAUGUCGUCGGUAUUGAGGAAAUGGGUAAGGCCUAGCCCACUACUCCUCAUGCUCCUCUCCUGCCGGAGCAACAUCCCACUCGACCGUCCAACCUGGUGGCAGGGUGGUAGUCCAAGUCACACCAUCAACCAUAUCGUGAAGUGCACCUGCAAAAAUUAUGCCACAAGCAAGGCUGAGUAUACUAAUACUCAGCUAGACUUACCCGGUGUGAGAAAACUACUCCUCUACCUCUAGACUAUGCAGCUGUUUGGCUGAGGGGUUUGGUUUGCCAAAAGCACUAGCUGUUUCUAAAAUCAAUUUUUAGCUUUUCAAGUUCUAGCAUCAUCAUCUUAGCUAGGUUUGCUCCUUCUAAGCAUACAUGGUGUCAAGCAUUUAGUUCAAUCAACAAAUUGUCUCAUGUAACCUCAUUUCACUUCUUACUCGAUGCAGUACAAGGGGUCAAGCAGUCUCAUUAGCUGCGAGAAGCAGAUGAUUCGAAUCGAGUUUUAUCCUUGCAAGGUAAACCUAAACACACGACAUGUCAGGGUACUUCGACCCCACACAUGUCAACCGUCCCUAUCGAUUCCCCUUUCGCGUCGAGGCCUCACCGCCUUGGCAUACAAUGCUCCACUGACCCCGGCUGCCGCCGUGCAGUGACCGCACUUGUACCCACCAUAGCUAGCAUGGGAGACCCAGUCUCAGGUCACAUGAGGGAUAAAUUCCACGCCCGGCUUCACUCAGGUACUAGGUUUAUCAGUUACCAUUUUUCCCGACAUGUGCUUAGUACGUUCAAACGCUUGACUCAGGUAUCCACACAUUAAUCCUUAAUUCCUUUUUCCUGUCUCAUGGUCAAGGCAUCCUCCCUGGAUCCAAGUCCAUAGACUAACAUAGAUCAUGUUAUCAAGAUGAAUACAAUCAAUUCCUGACCUCACGAGUGCUAGAAAAAUCACUCGACUUCUACCGAGAUCCUGAUUAGCAAGCAGCUACUCGACCUAGCAUACUAGUAUUCAUCUCAAAAAGGAUUCCUAAGUUCAUGCACUAGAGGUUUCAAGCAACUCCUACACUUAAGUGCACAUUACAAUCCUACAAGCAUUAAGUGUAGUAAAGUAGCAUAUAAUAAUACAGUUAUGCAUAUAAACCGGGGCUUGCCUUCAAUAGCUUGGGCUACAGGGAGAUCCUCGAUAGCAGCCUCGGAAGCUUGCUCCUGGUCCUCUUCUUGGACAGUUCCUUGCCCGGGGAUAAGCACGUACUCUCCGUCGGCGAGAUUAUAAUCUAAUGAAUGCAAUGUGUAAGAUAUAUGCAUGAUAUGAUAUGUGCUUUAGUAAUUUAAACUUUUGAUGGUGUAUGAUCUACUUGAGUUAGAUAGAGCUAAGUCUUGCUUAUACGAGACUUUUGGGUGGUAUACUAGGUAAAUUGGAUCAAUCUUAGCUAAGGUAAGUGGUAGGUUUAUUUUUGGGGUUCCACUGAAUUCUUUUUAAAGUCUUAGUGAGAAUUGACAAGAAUUCAAGUUGGACUUAUUGGAGUGAGGUUUAUUUCUUCUUUCUUUUUCUUUAUUCCCCUUAAGUUUUUGGAGUGGGUUUGAACUACAAGUUGCCUUAAUAAAUUUCCAAAAAUUCUGUAACAAUUACAGUGGCUUAUUACUGGCGUAUAGUUCUCUGUCUCAAAAUUUGGGGUUCAGAAAGUGAAUAGUUUUCUCUGGACAAAAUUACCAAAUUUUAGGACAGAGGGGGUGAUUUGAACUACAACUACCAUAUAAUAGUAGGUAAUUAUCUAAAACUUAUUUUUGCUGGCAUUUAGGUGCUAUAACAUGACGUGGCACAAAAUUCUAGCCAUUAAUACGUAUUAGUUAUUUUACUAGGAUUUUCUAAAAUUUCUAGCCAAAGGGGUGCUUUCUACUACCACUAUAUUUGAAAAAUAUCAAACAACAGAUCUCUGAUUUUUCCUAGCUUCUAUUUUGCGCAAGAGCAAUCAUUCUGAAGUUUGGCAUCUUUUUGCUUAAGGGAAGGGGUGGUAUGCAUUAUUUGGAUUAAAUGGCCUUUCUUAUAAAAUAUUGGCAGUAGGUAUUUUUUUGCAUCCUUCUAAUGGGUUUGCAUUUUUCUCUAGUGGCCUUUGUCAUCAUUGACCUAGCAAAAUUUUAUUUGCCCAUUAUUGCAUUAUUAUGGGUUAUUCAUGAUUUAUUUGGAAUAUGACUCAUUAUCAUAUUAUAUUUAUUUACCCUAUUUAAAAUGAUGGGCUGGGGUGUUUAUUAUUUUUACAGUGGGGUUUUGGUAGUUACAAGUCCACUGGAUUUUUAUUAUCAAUUUUGGGUCUGGUUUUGUAAUUCUAAUAAUUGAUUUCUAGUUGGGAAAAUGCUAAAUAAAACAUUUCACUUUAAAACUGAUCUGGACUAGAGAUCCCUUUAUUUUUCCUAGGUUCUCUGUUAUUUAAGCAAACUAGGAAAAAUAAUUUCACUCACUGUUCAUUAAUUUCUAAUUCCUUUCUGAUUUUCUUAAGUUUUGGGUAGAAAUGGCUUUUAAUGGAUAUCUACACUCAAUUUUUCAAUACUGGGGUUCUAACUAUUUUUAAACAGUGCUUAAAUGAGGUUUGAACAUCUACAAAUUUUCUCAGGUUCAGCAUAGAAACAAAACUAAUUUUUCUUAAUUAACCAAGGUUUGGUCAGUUUCUGUUUUUAGUUUUAAACUUUAAAAAUUAGAACAGAAAGCAUAGAGUUCAUUAUUUUUAAAUGAUAGUUCAUAUUAUUCAGGAUCUAGCAAAAUUAGGUUGACAACUUUUGGUUAAGAAUUCAUCAAGUUAUGAAUUUUCUAAGUUCUCUGUUUAUUAAAAAGAUUAAACAGAAAUGAUUAAAUAGAAAACUACUUUGCAACGGGGUCCCUGGCGGGUGUUUUAAGUUUUCCUUACAGACUAGUCCCUGGGCUACUAUUCAAAUGAGUCACUGACAUCUCAGAAAACCCCCAAAUUCUUCUAAUCCUAACCCGAGGUCCUUCCCCCAAUUUAAACAGUACCCGCGGCGGAAGAAAGGGCGGAGGGGCUUACCGGCGACGAGAUUUCUCCGGUGAGGUGGCCGAGGGUGUAGGAGAGGUCCUGAGGGUCACGACGAUGUGCGGGUCGCCGUCGGGGAUGGUCGGAGUCGGCCGGUCCGCGUGCGCAGGCGGGGGAGCUCGGCGGCGGCGAGGAGUCCGGCCUAUCCAGGGCGAAAUUGACCAAUCAAACGGGUCAGAGAGCUUCACCAGGGAUCAAGGAAGGGGUGUGCGCGAGGAAUUGAAGAAUGGCUCACCGGAGUGCCCAGUCUACGCGUGCAGGCGGGCGGCCGAAGUAUGGUGAGGUCGAUCUUCGCCUUUCGGUGAAGUUCUGCCAGGUCCGAGGGCUUGGAAAGCUUCACGGGCCUAUGGCGGAGCUAACCGAAGCGCUGGCACGACUUGGGGGUGACUGGAGUGGGCUGGCCACGGUGGCCGAAGCUCUGGCGGCAAUGGCGGGCGGAAAGGAGCUCGCCGGAGCUAAGGAGGGGUGUCUGGUCAGCGGUGGUGAGCGCGAGGUGAAGUGAGGCGCGCCCGGGGAGGUUUUAUAGGCGCGGGCGAGCACGGCCGAGGGCGGGGCUCUAACAAGCGCUCGGGGCGUGCGCGGCGAACGCCAGUGCGCGCUCUGGCGUCUGGCACAACAUCGAGCACGAGGCAGCGCAGAGAGAGGUCGAGUUCAAGCACGGAUUGGCCCCAAAUCUUUGAGAUUAUGGCCAUGAUCCCGUUGAGAGAUCUCUUCCUCUCAGGUUCCUUUGUCGUUUGUGUGUGGAGGCUAACAGGUUUUGCUGACUGGAUUAAGAGAUAGAGAGGGGAGAAAUCCUGUUUGUCUCACUGCCGCACACAGGGAGAAGAUCUCUGGUUUGACGUGUCCAAGGCAUGCGUCCCAAUGCCAUCUUCUGGCACAAGACAGAGAGGUUAGUUAUGGACGUUUUUGUUAAUGGGGCCAUUAGGAUUUGAGUUAGGGAUCAAGGUGAACACGCUUGAUCUUUGGCUCAAGGUCUGAAAUUCAGAAUUCUGAAUUUCAGAAUUCCCUAAUGAAAUCCCACUUGAGAGGCUUGUUUAGAGUUUUAUUUAAAUUGUUUCGGCCAAGCUUCCAAAAUCUUUGUUGUUGCUUAUUUAGCAUACUUUAAUGUUUAUAAUUGGCCCAAGCCAUGAUUCUAAAAUUUUCAUACUCUUUUCCCCAUUUUCUUGAAUUUUGUUUAUAGGGCUCAAUUAGGGUUUUUGUUGGGGUUGCACAUUUUGCCUUUUUGAAAAACCCAUUUGUUUUGAACAUGAUACUUUUAAGUAUAAGCUUAGUGGGUUCUUUAUUCUUAAAUCAACUUGAUGUUCAUGCUAAAUUUUGAUUCACAUAAGAUGAUGGUUCUUGGGUUAGCACUUGAGAGAAACCCUAGGUGACACUGGGGUGUCACACACUAGUUCUCUUGUUACUGCUCAAUUAUUUAAUGAAUGUAGAUACAUGAGUUUAGAAUUUGUCAACCCUUGACUGAUAAGUGUUGUUAGUAUUGUUUGUCAUGAAUUUGGUUUGUUUGGUCAAAGUGGUGACGUGGAGCAUAGGUUUGAGGUAUAAAUGAUGUGAAGAAUAUGAAUUGUAGGCAGGGUGUGAUUCGAUUAAAAAUACUCUAUCUGCUAAGUCAUAAAAUAAUGUGAUAUCGAUAUCUAGUAUUUUCGUACUAGAUUUGCGAUGUCUUGCUAUAGGUGUUUAAUUCGCUAUCGUGUAGCACUAUUUAGGUUUGUGAUAUUCCUGUCUAUAUGCAUUCAUGUGCAUUAUGCAUUUCAUUCAGGUACGUGAAUUAACUACGUGAUGCGGAGAACCAGAACUGAGUCGACCACAAGAUAUCGCUACACGUAAGCUUCUCUAGAAGAUGAAGCUGAUGGACUAAUCUGAAGAUGGAUGGACGAAGCAAGUAUCAGAAUAAAGGCUGAUCGCCAAGUGGUCGUCACCUAACAAACACUAACGUAGUGUUUAUCCAGGCAAGCCCCGGUGCAUUUGCCACCUCCUUGUUGUUUUAAAAUCUUUAUCACCUUGUUUGAUGCAUUAGGUGAUAGGAGUUGUGUGCUAAACCGUUGAUGCAUUUCCUUCCUUGGAAAAUUGAUUACCCUUCCUUGAUACCCUUUUUGAAAAGAAUUUUAUGAUGCUUAGCCUUGCUUUAGCAAACAAAAAUGUUUUGUUUUAAAACAAAAGUGAUGCUUCAGUGGGUGGGAAUGUUUUCAAAAAGCAAAUACUUAUGAUGGUGAAUCCGUCAAAGGCCUUGAUGGGUUCAACAUCGGAAAAGAUGUACCUCUGCCAGGUACCAAACUUUGGGGUUUAAAUGAUUAAAACGAGAUCGGGCGGGUGGCUUGCACGAGAAGGAAGUCUCGGUGUAGUGCCUCCGUCUGAGUCGAUUAAGGACCGUGUCGAUGUAGGCUUGAUGAUUUAGGACCUUUUAACUGGUCACAUGCCUCAUCAUGUGUAAGCUUUGCCUCGGGCAGACUAAUGUCAGAAAGGCCAACACGCAAUGGGAGUGGAGAGAUGGCGAGAGUAGUGUGUACCCUUCGUGGCAAGAGGCUGGACGGUGGUGUAUCUGUGCUCUCGGUUGGCGUGAACCCGGUCUGGUCUUAAGAACCCCGAUGGUGAGUUGACACAUGCAAGGGUUAAGUGCUACAUAUGUCGUGUGAUUGGAGAUCCCCAGCUGGGUAUUAAUCGAUUUGGAUCGCCGUUACUUCUCGGAUAUGAAGACUUGGUCACUGCCCUACACGUAGCAAUCCAGUGAACUGAAGGGAUAAUAAAAGACGGCUAGUAUAGGCCAAGUGCUUGAACUAGGGUAGAAAGAACUGUAGAUGCAGGUAACUUUACUUAACUUGACAAGUAAAAAUGGAUUUUUAAGGAUCCACUCAUAGUAAGCUUUUCUCCAAACAAAGUCCUUGAUUCUUGAUAAGCCUUACCUUGAAUCCCUUUUUGAAACCAGCAUACCCUUGAGAGUCUUUUCUUUAGUCGGGUAAGUCUUGCUGAGUACUUGCGUACUUAAGGUUUUAUUCCCAUUGUUGUUGCAGGUUACGAAUAACUUGAUUGUGAUUGGUGUUAAGCGCCGGUGGGCAUGACCUUCUAUAAGUCUAAGUACUUCUUCUAUACUUCUUAUUGAGGAUGGUCACUUAAGCUAGCAUAUAUUUCAAACUUAUAAAUAAUUUGUAACAUUUCAAAGUUAUCACUUUGAACCACUUUUGUAACCACUCCGAUAAAUAUAAUGUAAAUUUGUUGUAACUUGUAAAAUUUGGUAAUAAGAUUUCCGCUGCAAAUUGUUGGUGUGUGAUUUGUAUUUACUUAAUCCUGCGGUCCUGGUUGUAAGUGGUUUAUCCGAGGUCCUUAGGGCACUGGGACAGAUCCUGUUAAGUUAUCUGGUGCACAUGUAUAGCCGUUUGAGCUCUUUGAGACAAGGGUAGGUGCAUGUGGGCCUAAUAACUUGGGAGGUUCUGCCACAGCUGGUAUCGGAGCAGGAUUAAGUAUAAUACUGUCACAUACAUAUUUUCAAAACAAAGUUUUGGUUUUGGAAAACAUAUUUUCAACUAAACACUUUGUUUGGUUUUGAAAAACUACAGAUUUGAAAACUAUAAUGCUAGCGACAUCCUCUAUUAAGCCCUAAAUUAAAGACUGCCAGGUGUCUUAGUUCAAAUCCACUAACCCACAACCGGGGUAUUGCAUACAUGUGUAUUGUUAUUUUUGAGGCCAUUCAGUUCUGGAUGGAUCGACGCUCAGGUAAGGUGAGAUGUGAGAGCAUGACCGAACAAACGUCGGUCUAGGGAAGAGUAUAAAAAGUGCUUGAUUAUAUACAUGUUCUACAUGUAUAUAUGAAGGCUGCGAUGUGGAGUAUUUACUUUUCUGGAAUUCAGUACCCCAUGGAUGUGUAUGGGUAUACAAACAUGGGAAUACUGAGAAGUGUAAUGUAGUUGCAAUGACACACCUACGCUCAGGUAAGAAGGUGAUUUACCAUAAUGAGCUGCCCUAUGGUUAAAGUGUGGUAGCGGCACCUAUGCAUGACUCGGUGCUUAAUGAUGAGCUGGCCUCUAUAUAGCAAUAUAUGGAGUAUAAACUGUGAUAAACUGUCAUGUGUGAAUUGCAUCAUUGGGAAAUGGGUUGUGAUGGAUUUUUCUGUAGGUACACUAACUUCAAAAAUGUAUGUGUAGCUGACGACUAGCAAAAUACCGAGAGAGUCGUAAGUCCGCCACCGAUAUAGAACGCUAUUGCCACAUUAUGUUGGCAAAAUCAGUGAGGAGGAAUAGGACAAGCAUGCAUCCUGAUUGUUGCAUUAUGUUUGUCACCUAUUGUCGGGGACCAUAAUUAGGGGUACCCCCAAGACUCCUAAAUCUCAGCUGGUAACCCCCAUCAGCACAAAGCUGCAAAGGCCUGAUGGGCGCGAUUCCGGUCAAGGCUCCGUCCACCCAAGAGACACGAUCUCGUCACGCCCGAGCCCAGCCUCGGGCAGGAACAGUAGACCAAGGCAGAUUUACGCCUCGCCCGAGGGUCUCCUCAAGCAGUGGGCGCACGCUCGACUCGCCCGAGGCCCAGCUCGGGCAGGCUUCGCGGAGAAUCAACCUUGGCCGGAUCGCUACGCCAACCGACCGUAUCGCAGGAGCAUUCAAUGCAAGGAUCGCCUGACACCUGAUCCUGACGCGCGCUCCUCAGUCGAUAGAGCCAAAGUGACCGCAGUCACUUCGCCGCUCCACUGACCGACCUGACAGGAAAACAGCGCCGCUUGCCCCGCUCCGACUGCUGUGCCACUUGACAGAGUGAGGCUGGCAGCAGCUAAGUCCAGCCUCGGGCACCAUAGGAAGCUCCGCCUCGCCCGACCCCAGGGCUCGGACUCAGCCUCGACCUCGGAAGACGGACUCCGCCUCGCCCGACCCCAGGGCUCGGACUCAGCCUCGACCUCAGAAGACGGACUCCGCCUCGCCCGACCCCAGGGCUCGGACUCAGCCUCGACCUCGGAAGACGGACUCCGCCUCGCCCGACCCUAGGGCUCGGACUCAGCCUCGACCUCGGACGACGAUCUUCGCCUCGCCCGACCCCAGGGCUCGGACUCAGCCUCGACCUCGGAAGACGGUCUCCGCCUCGCCCGACCCCUGGGCUCGGACUUAACCUCGACCUCGGAGGAGUCACCGCCUCGCCCGACCUCGGGCUCGGACCGACCACGUCACAGGGGGCCAUCAUUACCGUACCCCUAGCUAGCUCAGGCUAUGGGGAACAAGAUCGACGUCCCAUCUGGCUCGCCCCGAUAAACAAGUAAUGAUGGCACCCCGCGUGCUCCAUGACGACGCCGGCUCUCAGCCCCUUACGGAAGCAAGGAGACGUCAGCAAGGAUCCAACAGCCCCGACAGCUGUACUUCCACAGGGCUCAAGCACUCCUCCGACGGCCACGACAUCACAUGAACAGGGCGCCAAAACCUCUCCGACAGCCACGACGGCAUGUACUUAGGGCUCUGGCUCCUCUCUGCUAGACAUGUUAGCACACUGCUACACCCCCCAUUGUACACCUGGGCCCUCUCCUUACGCCUAUAAAAGGAAGGUCCAGGGCUCUCGUAUGAGGGGGUUGGCCGCGCGGGAGAACGGGCCGACGCAUAAGGCUCUCGCUCUCGCUCUCUCCCACGCGAACACUUGUAACCCCCUACUGCAAGUGCAUCCGCCCUAGGCGCAGGACAACACGAAGGCCGCGGGUUCCCAUAUGCUGUCUUUCCCCCCUUUGUGUUCCGUCUCGCGCCGACCCAUCUGGGCUAGGACACGCAGCGACAAUUUACUCGUCGGUCCAGGGACCCCCCGGGUCGAAACGCUGACAGUUGGCACGCCAGGUAGGGGCAUGCUGCGUGUUGACGAACAGCUUCCUGUCAAGCUCCAGAUGGGUAGUCUCCAGCAACCUCUUCAACCCGGGACGAUGCUCCAUUUUGGGAGUCUUGAGUUCAUGUCCCUCGAUGGCAGCUACGACAUGAUACUCCUUCCUCCGUCGUGCGACAACGACAAUGACGGCCGUUAGCCCGCUCGCCGGUGGCGGAAUCGACGACGUCUUCCCCAUGUGGCGGAAGAGCGACAUCCGGGUCUGUCCCGUCACCUUCCCCGCCGACGGAGGAGGAGACAGGGCAGGCAUGGCCAAGCAGGAGGCGGCACCUCAUCGGCUGUCGAGCGAGUCAACGGCGUCGGCGCCCCAACGGGGGAUACGUCGGGCGUUGACCUCGCGUCUGAGACGAAGACGAGCGUAGUUUCCCCGCAACACGCCAACCCCAAGCAGACGGACGACGCCAGCACGCUCGCGAAGGACUUGCUAGGCGUUAGCCUCGUACCUGAGACAACGGUGCAGUCCGUCCCCGACGCGACUUCGUCACCGCCCGUCGAUCAAGAGGUAUCGUCCGUUUCCCGUUCCAUGCCUUUUAGGUUUAGCUGUGACCCACCAAGCGACCCCGCUUCGGUGGACGCUUUCAUAAAGGCAUGUCCAAACCCUCCGGGGUAUCAUAUGCGGUCACCCUAGGACCGGCUGACGGCCGUCUCGACCUACGGGUCCCUGGGUUCCGAGGAAGAUGACGAGCCCGACUCUGGUUGGGAUUUCUCCGGGCUCGAUAACCCCAGUGCCAUGCGAGACUUCAUGACCACAUGUGACUACUGCCUCUCCGAUUGCUCCGAUAGUAGCCACAGCCUCAGCGACGAGAACUGUGGCCCAAGUCACGAAUGCUUCCACGUCUAUCUAGGAGGUCUCGACGAAGGCAACCAUCUUGGUAUGCCGGAGGACAGUGAUCCCCCUAGGCCUGCGCCUCGCGUUGACAUCCUUCGGGAGCUAGCUGUGGUCCCAGCCCUUGCGGGGGGUCAGGACGCACAGCUCGAGCAAAUCCGCGAGAUGUAGGCCAGGCUCGACGAGGAAGCAGGACAACUUGUGCAGCUCCGGCAGACUAUCGGGCAGGAGGGGGCAGGCCGAGCACCAGCCGGAGAAGUGCGUCAUCUGGCCCAGGACGUCCAGCACCGCAUCGCCGACGAUGCCAGGGCGAGGCUGCCCCCGGCUUCCAGUGGGGUCGGCCAGAACCUGGCUGCAGCAGCGAUACUACUCCGAGCGAUGCCAGAACCAUCCACCACCGAGGGGCGGUGUAUCCAGGGAGAGCUCAAGAAUCUCCUGGAAGAUGCCGCGGUCCGACGGGCCAAGAGCUCUGCCUCCCGAAGGCAGGGGUACCCCCCGGAGCAUCGCGCCGCGACUUCCCGAUUCACGCGGGAAGCCUCGGUCCACACCGGGCGCACGCGGAACACGGUACCUGCGGCCCCGGGUCGCCUCAGCAACGAGCACCACCGCCGCGACCGUCGAGCCCACCUCGAAGAGAAGGUGCGCCGAGGCUACCACCCCAGGCGUGGGGGACGCUACGACAGCGGGGAGGAUCGGAGCCCCUCGCCUGAACCACCCGGUCCGCAAGCUUUCAGCCGGGCCAUACGACGGGCGCCGUUCCCGACCUGGUUCCGAACCCCAACUACCAUCACCAUGUACUCGGGGGAGUCAAAGCCGGAACUGUGGCUCGCGGACUACUGGCUGGCCUGCCAGCUGGGUGGGACGGACGAUGACAACCUCAUCAUCCGCAACCUUCCCCUGUUCCUCUCCGACGCCGCCCGAGCCUGGCUGGAGCAUCUGCCUCCUGCGCAGAUCUCCAACUGGGACGACCUGGUCAAAGCCUUCGCCGGCAACUUCCAGGGCACAUACGUGCGCCCUGGAAUCUCCGAAGCUACCGCCAGCAGCCGGGAGAGUCCCUGUGGGACUACAUCCGGCGAUUUUCGAAGCAGCGCACCGAGCUGCCCAACAUCACCGACUCAGAUGUCAUCGGCGCGUUCCUCGCUGGCACCACUUGCCGCGACCUGGUGAGCAAGCUGGGUCGCAAGACCCCCACCAGGGUGAGCGAGCUGAUGGACAUCGCCACCAAGUUUGCCUCUGGUCAGGAGGCGGUCGAGGCCAUCUUCCGGAAGGACAAGCAGCCUCAGGGGCGCCAGUCGGAAGACGUCCCCGAGGCGUCCGCUCAGCGCGGCGCGAGGAAGAAGGGCAAGAAGAAGUCGCAAGCGAAACGCGACGCCGCCGACGCGGACCUUGUCGCCGCCGCCGAGCAUAGGAACCCUCGGAAGCCUCCCGGAGGCGCCAACCUGUUCAACAAGAUGCUCAAGGAGUCGUGCCCCUAUCAUCACGGUCCCGUCAAGCACACCCUUGAGGAGUGCGUCAUGCUUCGGCGCUACUUCGCAAAGGCCGGGCCACCGACGAAAGGUGGCAGAGCCCACAACAACGACAAGAAGGAGGAUCACAAGGCAGAGGAGUUCCCCAAGGUCCACGACUGCUUCAUGAUCUAUGGUGGGCAUGUGGCGAACGCCUCAGCUCGGCACCGCAAGCAAGAGCACCGGGAGGUCUGCUCGGUAAAGGUGGCGGCGCCAGUCUACCUAGACUGGUCCGACAAGCCCAUCACCUUCGACCAGGGCGACCACCCCGACCGCGUGCCGAGCCCAGGAAAGUACCCGCUCAUUGUCGAUCCCGUCAUCGGCAACAUCAGGCUUACCAAGGUCCUCAUGGACGGAGGCAGCAGCCUCAACAUUGUCUACGCCGAGACCCUCGGGCUUCUGCAGAUCGAUCUGUCCUCGAUCCGGGCCGGCGCGGCGCCCUUUCACAGGAUCAUCUCUGGGAAACGCGUCCAACCCCUUGGGCAACUCGAUCUGCCCGUCUGCUUCGGAACUCCCUCCAACUUCCGAAAGGAAACCCUCACGUUCGAGGUGGUCGGGUUCCGAGGAACCUACCACGCAGUGCUGGGGAGACCAUGCUACGCUAAGUUCAUGGCCGUCCCCAACUACACCUACCUCAAGCUCAAGAUGUUGGGCCCCAACGGGGUCAUCACCGUUGGCUCCACGUACCGACACGCGUACGAAUGUGACGUGGAGUGCGUGGAGUACGCCGAGGCCCUCGCCAAAUCCGAGGCCCUCAUCGCCGACAUGGAGAGCCUCUCCAAGGAGGCGCCAGAUGCGAAGCACCACGCCGGCAACUUCGAGCCAGCUGAGACAGUUAAGUCCGUCCCUCUCGACCCCAGCAAUGACGCCUCCAAGCAGAUCCGGAUCGGCUCCGAGCUCGACCCCAAAUAGGAAGCAGUGCUUGUCGACUUUCUCCGCGCGAACGCCAAAGUUUUUGCGUGGAGUCCCUUGGACAUGCCUGGCAUACCGAGGGAUGUCGCCGAGCACUCGCUGGAUAUCCGAGCUGGAGCCCGACCCGUGAAGCAGCCUCUGCAUCGAUUUGACGAAGAAAAGCGCAAAGCCAUAGGCGAGGAGAUCCACAAGCUGAUGGCUGCAGGGUUCAUCAAAGAGAUAUUCCAUCCCGAAUGGCUUGCCAACCCUGUGCUUGUGAGAAAUAAAGGAGGGAAAUGGCAGAUGUGUGUAGACUACACUGGUCUAAACAAAGCAUGUCCGAAGGUUCCCUACCCUCUGCCUCGCAUCGAUCAAAUUGUGGAUUCCACUGCUGGGUGUGAAACCCUGUCUUUCCUCGAUGCCUACUCAGGGUAUCACCAAAUCAGGAUGAAGGAGUCCGACUAGCUCGCGACUUCUUUCAUCACACCCUUUGGCAUGUACUGCUACGUUACCAUGCCAUUCGGUUUGAGGAAUGCGGGUGCGACAUACCAAAGGUGCAUGAACCACGUGUUCGGAGAACACAUUGGUCGAACGGUCGAGGCUUACGUCGAUGACAUCGUAGUCAAGACGAGGAAAGCCUCCGACCUCCUCUCCGACCUUGAAAUGACAUUCCGGUGUCUCAAGGCGAAAGGCGUAAAACUCAAUCCUGAGAAGUGUGUCUUCGGAGUCCCCCGAGGCAUGCUCCUGGGGUUCAUCGUCUCCGAGCAGGGCAUCAAGGCCAACCCGGAGAAAAUCGCGACCAUCACCAACAUGGGGCCCAUCAAGGACCUGAAAGGAGUACAGAGGGUCAUGGUAUGCGUUGCGGCCCUGAGCCAUUUCAUCUCGUGCCUCGGCGAAAGAGGCCUACCUCUGUACCGCCUCUUGAGGAAGACCAAGUGCUUUACUUGGACCCCCGAGGCCGAGGAAGCCCUCGGGAACCUAAAGGCGCUCCUUACAAGCGCGCCCAUCUUGGUGCCCCCCGCUGCCGGAGAAGCCCUCUUGGUCUACGUCGCCGCUACCACUCAGGUGGUCUGCACCGCGAUCGUGGUUGAGAGACGAGAAGAGGGGCACGCAUUGCCCGUCCAGAAGCCGGUCUACUUCAUCAGUGAAGUAUUGUCCGAGACCAAAAUCCGCUACCCGCAAAUUCAGAAGCUACUGUACGCAGUAAUUCUGACGCGGCGAAAAUUGCGACACUACUUCGAGGCUCAUCCGGUGACUGUGGUGUCAUCCUUCCCCCUGGGGAGAUCAUCCAGUGCCAAGAGGCCUCGGGUAGGAUUGCAAAGUGGGCAGUGGAGAUCAUGGGCGAGGCAAUCUCGUUUGCCCCUCGGAAGGCCAUCAAGUCCCAAGUCUUGGCGAACUUUGUGGCUGAAUGGGUCGACACCCAGCUUCCAGCAGCUCCGAUCCAACUGGAACUCUGGACCAUGUUUUUCGAUGGGUCGUUGAUGAAAACAGGAGCGGGCGUGGGCCUGCUCUUCAUCUCACCCCUCGGGAAGCACCUCCGCUACGUGCUGCACCUCCAUUUCCCGGCGUCCAACAACGUGGCCGACUACGUGGCUCUGGUUAACGGGUUGCGCAUCGCCAUCGACCUAGGGGUCCGACGCCUCGACGCUCGUGGCGACUUGCAGCUUGUCAUCGACCAAGUCAUGAAGAACUCCCAUUGCCGCGACCCAAAGAUGGAAGCCUACUACGAUGAGGUUCGGCGUCUGGAGGACAAGUUCUUCGGGCUCGAACUCAACCACAUCGCCCGACGAUACAACUAGACUGCGGACGAGCUGGCUAAGAUAGCCUCGGGGCAGACAACAGUCCCUCCCGACGUCUUCUCUCGAGACCUACAUCAACCCUCAAUCAAGACCGACGACACGCCUGAGCCCGAGAAGGUCUCGACCCUGCCCGAGGCGCCCUCGGCUCAGCCUGAGGCGCCCUCGGCCCCCGAGGGUGAGGCACUGUGCGUCGAGGAAGAGUGGAAUGGGGUCACACCUAAUCGAAACUGGAAGACCCCGUACCUGCAAUAUCUCCACCGAGGAGAGCUACCCCUCGACAGAGCCGAAGCUUGGCGACUGGCGUGGCGCGCCAAGUCGUUCGUCUUGCUGGGUGACGGGAAGAAGCUCUACCACCGCAGCCCCUCAGGCAUCCUCCAGCGAUGCAUAUCCAUCGCCGAAGGUCAGGAGUUAUUACAAGAAAUACACUCGGGGGCUUGCGGUCACCACGCAGCACCUCGAGCCCUUGUUGGAAACGCCUUCCGACAGGGUUUCUACUGGCCAACCGCGGUGGCCGAUGCCACUAGGAUUGUACGCACCUGCCAAGGGUGUCAAUUCUAUGCAAAGCAGACCCACCUGCCCGCUCAGGCUCUGCAAACUAUACCCAUCACCUGGUCGUUUGCUGUGUGGGGUUUAGACCUCGUCGGUCCCUUGCAGAAGGCACCCGGGGGCUACACGCACCUGCUGGUCGCUAUCGACAAAUUCUCCAAGUGGAUCGAGGUCCGACCCCUAAACAGCAUCAGGUCCGAACAGGCGGUGGCGUUCUUCACCAACAUCAUCCAUCGCUUUGGGUCCCGAACUCCAUCAUCACCGACAACGGCACCCAGUUCACCGACAGAAAGUUCCUGGACUUCUGCGAGGAUCACCACAUCCGGGUGGACUGGGCCGCCGUAGCUCACCCCAUGACGAAUGGGCAAGUAGAGUGUGCCAACGACAUGAUUCUGCAAGGACUCAAGCCGCGGAUCUACAACGACCUCAACAAGUUCGGCAGGCGCUGGAUGAAGGAACUCCCCUCGGUGGUCUGGAGUCUAAGAACAACGCCAAGCCGAGCCACGGGCUUCACGCCGUUCUUUCUAGUCUAUGGGGCCGAGGCUAUCUUGCCCACAGACUUAGGAUACGGAUCCCCGAGGACGAAGGUCUACGACGACCGAAGCAAUCGAACCAACCGAGAAGACUCACUGGACCAGCUGGAAGAGGCUCGGGACAUGGCCUUACUACACUCGGCGCGGUAUCAGCAGUCCCUGCGACGCUACCACGCCCGAGGGGUUCGAUCCCGAGACCUCCAGGUGGGCGACUUGGUGCUUCGGCUACGACAAGACGCCCGAGGGCGUCACAAGCUCAUGCCUCCCUGGGAAGGGCCAUUCAUCAUCGCCAAGAUUUUGAAGCCCGGAACAUACAAGCUGGCCAACAGUCAAGGCGAGGUCUACAGCAACGCUUGGAACAUCCGACAGCUACGUCGCUUCUACCCUUAAGAUGUUUUCAAGUCAUUCAUACACCUCGUUUACAUACGCCAACAAAGUCUAACCAUCAAGGAAGGGUCAGCCUUGCCUCGGCAAAGCCCGACCCUCCCUCGGGGGCUAGAAGGGGGGCACCCCCUCUGCGUCAAAAUUUUACUCAGAAAAAGUCUUUCUGCCAGAACAUCUUUCGUGCUUUUCGACUACUUCGAAAGUGGGAUCCUGAAAACGACGGAGUACACGUAAGCAGGCAAGGCCGACCGAGCCGAGGGACUCCUACGCCUCCAGGAUACAGAUACCUCACUCAUCACCUUCUGCGAUAAGUAACUCACGCUCGGAUAAGCGAUUCUGCUGACCGAACAAGUCUUAAUGCUCGAAAACUUUUCUGCCGAAAUGAUUUUUCGUGCCUUCUCGACUAUAUCGAUAACAGAAUCCUACGGAUGAGUAAGAGUACAUGUAAGCGGCAAGUCCGACUGAGCCGAGGGACUCCUACGCCUCCGAGAUACGGAUACCUCACUCAUCACCUUCCGUGAAAAGUAACUCUCGCUCGGACAAACAAUUCUGUUACCGACAAAUAAGUCCUGAUACUCGAAACAAGGGGAAAAGAAACACAGCUUUACAACACGACGACGAUAUGUUUGGGCCUCGGCGGCCGCGAAAAACAUACACACACUACAGAUAAACUGUUCCUGCAGGAUCAGACAUCAGUGGGGGAGCAGCAGCACCCUCGGCGUCGACUCCACCUUCGGCGGAAUCUGACCCGGCCUCGGACGGCAACACGGUCGGAGGAUCUCCACCUCGAAGGAACCUGUCGGCACCACGCCUGGGCCAUCGCCGCUAGGGUCUCCUCUGGGAACCCGGCCCGAGCAGACGGCUCGACCGGCCGCUCCGUAGCCUCAGCCAGCUGUCCCCCGAGGACAUCAGCCCGGCUCAUGGCCUCGACAACCCGACUCCGGCGCUGGUCCGGCCAGUGGACAGCACGGCCAGGCUCCGGCCGACGAAGCUUCUUUUCGAGCCAACUCUGCCUCUGUCCGUGCUGGCACCGUUGCCUUCGGCUCUGGCUCAUCGCAGAGCGGCCGAUGGUUUUUUUAACUAAGCAAGAGAAGCCUCGGGCGUCAAGGCCGACCGAGCCAAGGGACUCCUACGCCUCCGGGAUACGGAUACCUCACUCGUCACCUUCUGCACGAGGCAACUCACACUUGGUUAAGCGGUUCAGCUAGCCGACAGGCGAGUCCUAGUGCUCGAAAUGAGGAAAAAACACGGCUUCACGCCAAAAUACAUACAUGUUCAGGCCCCGACAACCGCAAUGAACAGACACCGGCACUCAAGGUGCCAUUACAAACAGAACUCCGGUUCCACUCCCGCGGGUAUGAACAACCUCCACAUCGGAGAGCCUGCAGGACGACAAACUCCUGGUGACUCGCCAGCGACCUCAGCAGCAGUAGCGAUGGUCCCAGGACGGACGCUGCCGCCGGAAGGCUCUUGUUCACGUCCCCACUCAAGGGACAAGAACCAGACAUUAAAGCCAAAGAGCCGAAGGUCGGUCCGCGGGUAGCGCUGACGGCUCGUCGGCGGAGAAGCUUUCUCCAGCUGCCACCACGUCAGCAACGACGGCGGCGUCCACCUGUCCACCAACACCGCACCAUCGAGCGCCGGCCGCCCCAAAGCGCACCGUCAGGUCCUCACUCCCGUCCUCGCCACGAAAGCGAGGACACAGGACGGAAUGCUGCACCCUGGCUGUGCAGCAACAGUUCGCCUUCCCUGGCAUGGCUGGAGGGCGCCUCCUCCGCAGAGCUGGAGGAUGGUUUCCACCCCAGAAGCUGGAAGAAGAGGUGGCCCGCCGACCCGUGCGGGAGGUAGAACUCCGGCUCAGCCCGCCCUCCGCCCCAGCAAGGAUGAUGAAGAUCCUUGAAGCUGAUGGCGGGGCAGAGGCCGCAGCCCGGCUUGCUUCUCCCCAUCAUCGAACUGGUGGUCACCGUCUUGGGUGACCACCGGCGAGGGGAUGUAGCCGGGCUGCCUGAUGAAAAUCCUUGAAGCCGAGCGAUGGCUGAAAGGUACCAACUUCCGCGAAGUUGCGUUCCUCCAACGACGACAAGACGAAAGCGAUGCGGGCGCUCCCCAUCCGGGGGCUCGGAAGGUGGAAGGGCGCGAUGCAUGAGGAGAGUACGAAGACAUGGUUGCCAUCCAAGGGGGUCACCCUCCUUUUAAAGGCGACUCUCCCCACUUGCGUCCUCAGCCGUCGCGGACUGAGUCUUCACCAACAUGCUCCAAGGUCUUCCCCCUACGCCACGGGGGCUGGGUCCCACGCGUCAUGCAAGCUGGCCUAGGACAGAAGAGGCCAAACCGCCGCGUGUGGUGCGCGUAACUACCAAGCGGUUACAAGCGCUCCUCCACUUUCGCCCAAGCCAGCGGGUGAAAGGGCAGACCGCCAUGCAGGCGGCACGCAACCGCACCAAGGGGCGCACCCUUUCGACUUUGACGCGUCCAGCAUGGGGGCCCAGGCCCACACGUCAUGUAACCAGCGCGCCGGUUACUACGUGCGAGAAACUGCACCGCCACUUGCUCCAGUACCGCGCCUUCUCGACUGCUGAAUUGGUGCCGUGACUCGAGGCGACCCUGAGCAUGGCCCAACAGUGCCAACCGCGCACAUCGGUCACGGGUCAGUCAGCCGCGGGAGAAGGCGCGACGGUCAAUAUGGCCAGAAAUGGGCUGGCAGUAAUGGCGGCGGCAGGCUGGCGGAAGCAGCAGUCAAGUCAUCUGCAAGCUCACGUCCACUCCUAGGACAGCGAGAGAACCCUCUCCCACGGCGUGAAGACGACGCGUCCGUGUUCCGUUCCUCGAAUGGCUCGCGCACGUGCAAUGGCUGCCCCGCGAAUCACUCGUCCCGUCGUAUUAACUUUGCGGCAGGGCAGGCGACACCUUUGGUAGGUGAAGCGGGCGACGCUUCACCUUCGCCAUAAUGACCGCGUCAAAAGGUGCGCCACGUCGUUUGAUUUUGUGUCCUUUUCCUCUUCCUCUUUCUCUCUCUUGCUACAGGGACCGGGAAAGGGGAUGCUCCAAAACGGAUCCUUCUCCGCGAAGGAAGCGGGCCCCGAGCCCUCCUACUGAUCAGAGGUUCAAAGGCUGGCCCCUCGGAAGGGUUUGACAGCCGCCUCAGAGCACUCGGGCUCCGCGCCCUCCUACUGAUCAGAGGUUCGAAGGCUGGCCCCUCGGAAGGGUUCGACAACCGCCUUAGAGCACUUGGGCCCCGCGCCCACUGCUGGUCAGAGGUUCGAAGGCUGGACCCUCGGAGGGGUUCGACAGCUGCCUCAGGCCACUCGGGCUCCGUGCCCACUACUGAUCAGGGGUUCGUAGGCUGGCCCCCGAAGGGUUCGACAGCCGCCUCAGAGCACGCAAAGCGAGGGAUGACUCUGGGUACGUCCGAUACAUGGCCGAGGCUCGGGCUACGCUCCCGAGGUACCCUAGGACAUUUCCGAGACCAGCAGGAGCGAUUCUGUAACGGAAUCCCAUCAGAGGGAGGCAUCGAGCCCUCGGACCCUAUCAAACGAGACCGGCUCCGGCAAAUCACCUGCAGGUACUUUUGGAGUGCGCCUCUGGGCCACUAGCCGACCCUUAUCGAAUGGGGCACGGGCGUCCACUCGGAUCACCCGUUAGCAACUCACUGGAGACACCAUGUUCGGCGCCCUCCGAGGGCAACAUGGCGCUUUCCCCCCUCCUUGCGGAAAGGCGACGCAGGGGCGUAUGAAAAAAGCCGAGUCUGUCCUUGACCUAACCUAGGAAAGACAUGUCCUAUCAUUUUUCUUGAGUUUGAUGCCUUUGGUUUCUUCAUAUCUAUCGAAGGCAUACCAACUUAAUCUUAUGAUUGUUUCCCCUCCGUACCUAAUCAUAUACUAAUCCUUGACCUUAUAAUCUCUAUGAUGGGCAUAGAAAUAUGCUUGGGGCUGAAUUACCAGUCUCCCAUCAUCCUCCUUUCAUCAAGUUUAGGUUAUGGCCAUACCUUGUUCAUUUCAUCGGGCCAUGAUCUAUUUGGCUCUCUACAUGUAAUCGUUUUGACAGGUAGAGUCUCUUUGUAUAUUAUCACCCUUGCCCAAUAUAUUGGUGUCGCGCGGGAUUUCUUAUUGGUUACGUCUAGUAAUGGUGUUAUGACUAAAACCGAUGGUGUCGUGACGAAACCGAGGGGCUCCUGUGAAUGUACACACAUGGUUGCGCUACUUGGCACACGCUAGUAUCACAGUUAGUAGUCAUAAUCCAUUAUGAGACUAUUCGAUAUGUUAUCUCUACACAAAUUGUUCUUACCACGUGAGAUUCAUUAUGGGUCAAUUUUGUAAUUAUGUCAUGGUUAAUGACUUAUGGUGCCACAGCGAAACUGAGAGCCUCCUAUGAAUGCGCACACAGGACUGUGCUACUCGUCGGAUGCUGGUAUCAAGGUCUCUGGUCAUGAUCCAUUAUGGAACUACCCUAAUAUGUUAUCUUCCGUAGAUCUCUUCCUUGAAACGAUUUCUAUGUUGUUUGUCGAGUGAUCAAGCAACAUCUAUCAUUUUCUGUUGGAUCAAAUGGGCAUACCACUUCCCAUGUGUGGUCUCUUUUUCCUUGACUUUGGUAGUGACUACACGUAUACAAGUUCCCUUUACGUCCUUUGUGUAAAGGUGAAGCCUUGGAGCUUUUUAGUGUUGAGAGACAACUGAUUAGCUCUCAAAAUGGAGAUUUGUUUCCCCUGCUGCUGAGAUGUAGGAGUUUGUUCAUUCGCUCUCUUAUUUAAUCCUUGUAUUUCCUAACCAAGUCAGUUCAUCUCGCAUGGAAGAAAUGGAUGAACAACCUGACUGAAUGGAUUUCUAUUCAAAUACAUGAUCUCUUGUUAACUAAGGUGAACUCUCGACCAUUGGAUUGCCGAUGGGUAAUGAGAAGGCUUACUCAAUAUCAAAAGUAGUUCAACAAGUUGGUUUUACUAACUUGUAACUGCCCAAUGAACAAAGAUUGAGUUUAGAGAUCGUUUUAUCGAUUUGCCUGAACUCAUUUUAGUUCAACCCAUCUUAAGGAAGUACUUUCAAGAAUCGAUAUUAAGUCGGCCAAUAACCACCUAAUUAUCGCCCUAGUCAUGCCUCGAUCGUCGCACGUGUGCUUUUCUAGCAUGUGUGAUAAGGUCGCAUCAUGCUUAGUGCUCGAUAAAGUGGAUUGAUUGUGAAGUCAACAUUUGUUGAUCAUCUUCCCUAACGUGUUCCUCUAAUUUUUAUCAUCUUCCUGGAACUUGAAUUCCUCAAAUGACCACUUGUUGGUAAAUCUCCUUCUGUGUGUCUUACCUAAGAUGGUGCAUCUGAUUCUGCUUGGGUAAAAUCGUGUAUUUGCCGCUCGCUCAACAGAAUCAGAUAGUACAGUGUCAUCAUAAAAAGCAUACUGCACACAUGGAACCUUAUGUGUUCUUCUGGCAGACAUUGUCUCUACCAAUGGACAUUUAUAAAUUAGCCUAAGGCGAUACAUGUUAUGUCCACUGGAGAAACGACAUCCGGAGACACUCACCUUUGCUUGGAACUGUCUUAUGAUUAUCGCUGAUAUGGACUGGGUUACAUGCUUCUCUACUCUUAAAAGUAUUUCGCUCCGAAUCUUAGGACGAGAUUCUUUUAAGGGGGAGGGCUGUAACACCCUAGGUGUUUAUAUUCUGCUCAACAAUGAAUAUGGAUUUAAGCACGUAAUAUCAGUUGAUAAACCGGAUGCUAAAUUUUAAUCAUUUUUGUCUAUCACAAUUUUAAUAUCGCAUCUGUUUCUGUCUAUUUAGACUCUUCCUAAGUCUUCGCGAAAUUUAGAACGUAAUUGUUCCAAAAAUUUGUGAGUCUUGUGCCUAAUUAAAAUCUAUCGAGUUUGGUGUCGUUUUCAUUUCGAUAAUCUAAACAGCUAAAAAGGGUUCAUGAAGCUUUUGGAUUAUCGAAUCUUCGUCGCUGGCGAAUUUUGAACUGUUCGAAUCACGAGCGUAAGUGAAUACAAAAAUCAGAAGACUUCUAAUUUUAUGAACAAUUUGGAGCCCGCGCUGUCCGAACAGAACGAUGCGCUAGCGGAUUAAGUGAAUCGUUCCUCUUAGCAUGUGAUCGUUAGCGUUAGAUCAAAUGAUCGAUCACUAGUGAGGAUCGUAAAAAUUAGACGGAACUAAAUAUCAGUCUCUCUGUCUUAAUUUGUUUCAUCUGUCGCGAGUUCGACAUCGUUUUUUUAUUUAUCCGGGCUCUUCCUAAAUUUUCAUGAUGUUCAGAACAUAGUUGUUCCGAAAAUCAGUGCGUCCGGUGGUUAUUUAAAACUCAUCGCUCGUCCGAAUACGAAUUCGGAAGCUUGACCUACUUUUACGGUUUUUAUCCCGGGAAAAUUAAUUUGAACUCGACGACUAAAAUGUUUGGGGCAAAAUAAUCUGAAUCUCGCAGUGUUUGAGAGAAAUCGUGCGCGAGGUUGAUAAUUGUUGGGGACUUGUUCUCAAAUGCUAUGAAUCAAGAACAAGGCAACAUAAAAUGUUAAAUAUCGAAGGCCCUUCGUCCUUCAAAUCAUUAUUUCCCUUCGGACAUAAUGAAUCUAGGACGAAGGUCAUGAAGGAUGUACCUUCAUGAUCAUAAUAAGAAAUGGAAAAACAUUCAAACAAAAUACAGAAAGUAACCUAAUUUCUUUAAACAUUAUUAUUAAUAUAUUUCUAUUUGUAUUACUUGUGUAUACAAAGAUAAAUUAAUGUACCUUCGACUUGAAGGGAAGAAAAUACAGGCGUGGCGUAAAAGUGAGUGCCAAGUCAGCGCGAACAGUACGGGAAUACUGUUCACCUAUUUAUAGGCACAGGUCGCAGCCCAUGCAAGAUUACAUUAAUGCCCUUUACAUUUAUCAAUAACUCUAUAGUAAUUCUUCGAGGUCUAAUCUGGCUUUUUAUCUUUAAGUCGGUUUCCCUUUCCGCCGUUAUGCCGAAGCUCUUCUGCGCAUAGCUUCGUAAUGAUCUUUUCCUUCGUCACAAUCACCUUCCGUCCCACUCAAGCUUCGUCUUGGCCAUAAUCUUAUAUACUCGUAAUCCAAUUCCGAAGAUACCUGCUCACACAUUUCACUUAGAAAACAUUGUUAAAUCAUGUUUUUGAGGACCUUCGAAAGACGAAGGCCCCCAACAAUAAUCAAGGAAUUAUAAUUGAGAUCCGAUUACCACGCAAAUUACCCGUGAACAUGGAAUCAUGUGUUCUGAUCGCAGAUCAAAUUUAUCAGGUUUCGAAUCAAAUCAAACCGUGUCACAAGUACCGUCGACCCAUUUUAUAUAUCGCUAAACUCUGGAUUUAAAAGUAUCUGCGAAAUUCUUUAAAGAAAUAUAGAAAAAUCUGAAAAUAGAAAAAAAAUCCCUGUCGCCGCUUCCUUCUCCCUCUGUUUUCUUUCCACCGCUGCUCUCUUCGGAUAUUUUCACCGCCGCGCUGUGGCCUUAUCCCAUCGCUUGUCUUCAUCUCCCUGUGGCCAGCGCUCGUCUUCCAACCAUCUCUGCUCAGAUUUUCCUACCGCCCAGCCGCUCCUUUCCUUUCCCCCGACCGCGCCCUGCAUCUCCCAUGGGCGAGCGCCCUACCGAGGUCCCUCCAUGGUUGCGCACUCCUCCAGCUCGUGGAGCUCUCUCCUGCUCCUGUUCUUGGCCGAGCGCCCGACCAGGGCUCCCCUGCGCGCCGACUUCCCUGCUCGCGUCGACGCCCUACUUGCUGGCGCGCGCGCUUGCUUCCCUACCAACGUGCCGACGUCGCGCUGAGCUCUCUGCGCCGCGGUUCUCCCUCAACCAGGCCUAGCUAAGCUCGCCGGCUUCUCCUCUACACGCCCUGCUCGCCCUCUGCCGCGCACUCCUCCCUUGCCGCGUAUCUUUGGUGCGCUGCGCUAGCUGCAGCUUGGAGCUUCGCGCGCGUCUUCCUCCCUGAGUCCCUUUCCUGUGCUCACCAUGGCCGUCACGCCUGCUUCCCCUGCUCGGAUUUGGUUCGUGCCCCGGGCUCCCAUGGCGCGCCCGACUCCCGCUCCAGCGCACAGCCGAACUCCCCUACGCAGCGCGUUCCUCCCUGUUCUCUCCCUCAUCCGGCCAUGGAUGCUUAGGAAAAGUAGUAGUCCCAGCUCGGCAACACCAAUAGGCUCCCUGGAACUAGUGCCCUGCUCCCUGUUGCCGCAAGCUCCAGCUCGGAUUCCGCCCAGCUCGCCCCUGCCCAUGUCACGCCGGUUUCUCUGACCCCGGCGUUGUCAUUUCAGUUGACCACACCGGGUGCACCGCGGAAGCGUGGUGGGCACGAGGGUCGGGGACUGGCCGAUUGUCGAUCACCUAUUUGCUUUGGACAGUGCCUCGACGCCCCAUCAUAGCAGCCCGUUGGGGAACUCUAGUGUUUGACGUUAAUUCUCGGUCGUCUCCAACUCUGUCUUGCCGUCGUCGUUCAGUCGCCCCAUCUCGAUGUCGGUCCCUACGUGAUGCCUUUGAAUUGUGAUCGCGCGGACAAAAGAAUCCCCAAGAUAAGAUGUCCAAAGAUUGGAUGGUGUUAUGCGUGAAGUUCGUGUAGCACCUGCUAUGCGCUUGACAAAUUGUUUGAAUCGGAAAAUCAUUACCGAUCUCGCAGAUUCGAGUCAGCUAUUGGAACGGUAAGUUGAUUUGCUAUUCUUAUUGACUGGUCUGAUGAAUGGAUUGGUUGAAUUAGUUGUUCGUGAAGAUUGUUUUAUUCUUAGCACAUGUGCGUUGUCGAGGUAUUAGAUGUAUGCCGUGAU